UUAUGCUAAUUUUUUGAAAUAAAUUUCUUAACCAAUUUUUUUUCUUAAUCAUAAUUUUUUUUUUAUUUUUUUAAAGUUUUUAUUAUUAAUAAAUUAAAAAUUUCAGAUAGUACUAUUUUGAAUUUCUUUCAGCAAACCAAGUUAUAGAGUUUUCAAAAAUCUACAAUUUGAUGGGCGAACAAUAAAAGUUGAGGACUCUAAUUCAAAUUAUCUAACAAUUGAGGGGUCCCCUUACAACUUUACCUUUAUAUGAGUUUAUUCCGUAAUAUUCCAAAAAGGCCACGAAAAAGGUAAAUUUCCUAAUUUACCCCCGCGAUUGGGAGAUCUAUUUCCUCGCACUCAUCCACCGUCCGUUUGCUCCAUCCGAUGAAACGGACGGCUCCGAUGCGGAGUUAAAAAAUAUAAAAUUAUUUUGGCGCGCAUGUGCGCUGACACGCCACGUGGUGCCAGAUAAGAGGGUAUCCGACAGUUGUUUAAUGACAUAUUGACCGUCCGAUCGGCGUUUAACGGCUCCGAUGAAACACCAGGGCACGUUCCACUUUUAUAUUCGUACACCGGAUCCGACGAGUCUAAUUUGCGGAAUGAUCCCUAACUUUUCAACUAAUUUUCAAUUCAAUUCAAUAAAUUUUAAUUUUUAUUUCAAUUUAUAACUUUUCAGAUCUAACUGCAUAAAGUUCCUAUCCAAUAUUUAUCGGAAAUAAAGUUAAACAAAAAAAUUAUACACUCGAUUAAUUUGAAUUACAAUUCAUUUUAAAUUCAAAAUAAGUCUGAGAAAAAUCUAAAUUGUAAAAUUUAAUAAUUUAAAUUUUAAGCUUAUAAUAAAUUUGGAAUAGAGAGUAAAUUUUUUUUGCUUUAAAUUAAUGCCAUUUGAGGACACUAUUUUAGUUGAUAUAAUUAGUUUUUUUAAUAUUUUUUUGGUAAAUGUUAAAUGCACAAAUUUUUUUCUUUGCUGUUUAUUCCUCUUUGCAUAAUAAUUUACUUUUAUAAUAAAUGCAUAUAUUAAAUGUAAGCUAAUACUGUAACCAAAUUAAGCUCUAUAAGCAUAAUUUACAAAUUUAUUCUAAUAUUUGCUUAUAUUUAAGGGGCAUUUGGUUCGGUGUAAAAUGAAUCGAAAAAUUAAUUUCGAUAUGAAAAAUAUUUUUUCGUUUGUUUAGUUUCUACAGAUUUGAAAAAAAAAUAAAGUUUUUGUUUCUCGCUAUUUUUUGAAAAAAAAAUAAAAACUCAAGUUGCGUAAAAAUUGUUUAUUUAUUUAUUUUUUUACUGAAUCAAACAAAUGUAAAUUUUUUUUUUUAACUAAACAAAUACUGAUAGAACAUUAUUUUUUAUUUCCUACUAACUGAAUACAAUAAAUUAAAAAAAAAUCAUUUACUCCACAUAAAAUUUGUUUUCACGGUUUUAUGCGGAACCAAUGGGACCUUAAAUGAAAAAUAAAAAAAAGAUUUUAGAUUUUGAGUUAAUUUCAUACAGUUCCCUAUAAAUAUAGUGAAUGACAAAUAUAUUUCUACAAAAUUCAACUUUAAUAUGUUGUCCAUUCAAAGUUAUGAUAUUUUCAAAUAUGUUUUUAACGUUAGAAUCGGUUAGAAAAAUUUAGUUAACUACAAGUUAAAUACUUAAUUCUGAUUAAUUUUUGAUAUUUUUAUCCCUCUUAUAUUAUAUUGUUAUAGUUUUUGAAAGGAUAUAUUUGUGAUGACAAAUUUGAAAAUAUAAACAGUACUCUAUCAGUAACAAAUCACAAUGACAUAUUUAAAAAUAUUAGAGAUUUUGUAGGAAAAAUAAAUAAAAGUUGAACUUUAUAAGGAUAUAUUUAUUAAUCACUAUGUUUGCAGGGGCCUAUGUGAAAUUAACCCUUAAAUUUUUCUUAAUAAAUGUUUAAACAGUAAGGGGCUUAUCUGUAAAUUUCGCAUUCGAAAGUUCGCGAUCACGAAGGGCAUCAGCGUAAUUACAUAAUAAUCGAGGGGCUAAUUCUUAAUUAGCUAAAACCCUUCAUCGUUUCGAUUUAAAAACCCCAUCGACGCAUCUCUCAAUCCUCGCUCUACGCCUCUGCGACUUCGCUGUGCGGAGUGGGGUAUGAGCUGUUAAUUUUUAUUCUUUUUAAUUGUUUUUACAAUUAUUUUUGCUCCAAUUUUUUAAUUUUUUGAAACUAUUUCUCACAGAUUUCGAGGUAAUAUUUCGAUCCGAAUUUGACAAUUUUUUUUUUAAAAAAAAAAUCUCAACACGUGAUCCGGGGAAUCUCGACUGUAUUUGAUCGCCUUUUUAUUUUUUAAUAUAAAUAAUUUUUGUUGCGAUUAGUGCUGUGAUUUUUGCUUGUGUGUGUAUAUAUAUAUAUUAAUCGAAGUAGCUUUUAGGUGUGAUUUGUCCCUCUCUCUCUCUCUCUCUCUCUCUGGGGGAGGGGAAUCGCUUUUUCCCGAAGCACUGUGAUGGUGAUUCCUCACUGCUAUUCCCAAUUUUUUUUUUGUAGUAAAGGUAGUGUUAUUUUUCUUAUUUUAUGAUUUGAUCCUAAAAAAGUUUUCUACUUUGUAACUACACAGAGAUUAGGGCAUUAAUUUGUUGUUCUUUACCAAACCCUUUCAUUUUCACGAUCAACUGCAUAAUAUUUAUCUACACAAAAGUGCUGGAUCUGAGUGUUCUAUUUUUUUUGGGGGGGGGGCAUUGAGUUUGCUCAAACUGUUUGUAAACUGAGAGAUCUUUUUAUGUUACUUAAACGUAUUCAUAUGUUAGGUGAACAACUUUUUAGAUCUAGCUUGUAAUUUGUGCAUGUAGAUAUUUUUAGCUACAGGAGAAGUUUUAGUUGUUGAAAAAAAUUGAUUUUGUUAGUUUAUUGGUCAUUAUCUCGGGGCCUACGGGGCCAUACGAUUAGGGCAUGUAUUUUUGUUCAUUUUCACCGUUGCGUAAUAUGGUCCCUUUUUUUUUUGUUUUCAAUGAGCAUAUUUGGACCAACAAAAACCCCUUUUUUUCGUAUGUAGGUGGAUUUUACUGAUGCUGUUAGCUAGGUGUACUUAUCUAAUCAGUACGCGGAGUUUCGCCAUGUGAUAUGUUUCUAAUGGACAUGCUAAACAUUAAUUGCUAUGAAUGUGGGGAGUGGGAUUUUGGGAAGAUCUGUUUAUUGUGUGUUCUUUUACGGUUCUAGUGGAAAUUGACUUCAGUAGGAAGUGUCGCCGUUCUUCAUUUUGACCCAUUGUUCCUGGAAAUGGAUCCAGCUUUUUUUUUUUUUUUGACUGUCCUGUUUGUGAUCUAGCUUCUGCAUUAGAAAUUACUUCUUGGCUACAUUUUGUUUAUCUUGUUUAUCGGUAAUGGGUCGAUUUUAUUUGUUUGGUUUUGGUUUGAAUUCUUUGUGAAUUUGUUUAGUUCUUGUAAAGUCUACAGAUCCAUUCGAUAGCAUUUUCUAGUUUGGUCAAACUAUAUUGGCGUUAUGUUGUUUUUGGAGUUGGAAUGGAUUUGGGCCGAAAUUGUCAACUCUAAUCUUCUCUUCCUAUGCUUAGGUUAGGCUGGGAGUUUCAAGCCCAAUUCACUUAUUUGGUAAAAACAUCAUCCCAUUUACGUAAUUGUUAAUUGUAGUCGUACCAUAGAAGGGUCGCAUGCCACACAUGUAGGAGUACUUGGUAAGAGAGACAAAAAGCUUUGACGGAAUAGUGUUCUCUUUUACCGAAUACCCAAUUUUGAGUUCCGCAUUUUAUCUUUUGAUUUUAGAAUAAUAGUCUGAUAUGACUUUAAGUCAUUACCCAUGCUGUUUUGAGGCGAACUUGAUGUCUUUUAGUUAUUAUGUUAAGACUGGAUCGAUCCAUCAUAGGUGAUCCACCUUUUGUCGUAGGAAAGGCCCCUAUAAUUGUUUUGUUAUAUUUCUCGAUUUCACAUUCUGUUACACUUCGUGCUUGCAUGUGGCUCCGAGCAGUGAAUGCAUGAUCAACGGGCUAAGGCACAUGCAGUUGCUCUCAACAGAUUGUGGAGUUUCACUUAUAGCUGUUAAUGCAAACAAAUGACCAUCUAAAAAUAAUGUUCUGGAAAUUGGUAAACUAUAUCUUCGAAGAACUUCUGUUGGUUUGUCUUUGCUUCAGCUCAAGUUGGGACUCGUUAUUUUUCUCUCGUGUUAUUUUUUUCUUCAUAAGAUGGAUCUGUACACUUUUAUUUGAUCAUCACAACUUUGUAAGUUUCUGAAUUGCAAUAGAUAAAACAAAAUGGUCUAGAGCUGUAACAAAUCUUAACACGCUCAUUAUUUUAUUUAUAGCUUAGAAAUCUGAAGUGACUUAAACAGUAGUACGGAUCCUACUAUUUAGAGAUUUUUUAGUAUGUUCCCCUACAAGUAUGCAAUAUGGCACAAACACCCUUGGUAUUUGCUUUUGUACCAUCAAAGACCUUGAUUCUUUGUGUCUGCCCCUUCUUGGUUAUCUAUGCAAAUAUGGUUUCUGCAUAUGCACCUCGGAUGGGGGCAUGAAUGCAAAUGAAUAUGGUUUUCCGGGAAAAGCAACCAAACAUGCAAUUUCAAACUUUACAGGGCUAUUUAUGCACUUUCUUGUAGGGUUCAAAAAACUACUGUUUACGUUUUCUGGACUGAAAUUUUCACUUAUCUGUGCAGCACUUAGACUACAACCAUGGCAGGAGGAGAUCUGCAAACCCCUCUCCGCCCUAAAAGGAAGAAGGUCUUGGUGGAUUACCUGGUCCAGUUCCGUUGGAUCGUCGUCAUCUUUGUCGUCCUCCCAAUCUCCAGCCUCAUGUACUUCAGCUUAUAUCUUGGGGAUGUCAGAUCUGCUUGGAAAUCCGAUAAGCGCCGCCAGAAAGAGCACGAUGAGAAUGUCCAAAAGGUUGUUAAACGCCUCAAGCAAAGAGACCCUAAGAAGGAUGGCCUCGUCUGCACGGCCCGAAAACCCUGGAUCGCUGUUGGUAUGCGCAAUGUCGACUAUAAGAGAGCUAGACAUUUUGAGGUUGAUCUUUCUGCUUUUAGAAACAUUCUUGAAAUCGACAAAGAGAGAAUGAUUGCGAAGGUCGAACCGCUUGUUAACAUGGGCCAGAUAACCCGCGCUACUGUCCCCAUGAACCUUGCCCUAGCCGUCGUGGCCGAGCUCGACGAUCUGACCGUUGGUGGCCUGAUCAAUGGCUAUGGCAUUGAGGGUAGCUCUCACAUCUACGGACUUUUCUCCGAUACUGUAGUAGCGAUGGAAGUUGUUCUUGCGGAUGGACGGGUUGUUAGGGCUACAAAGGAUAACGAGUACUCUGACCUUUUCUAUGGACUCCCGUGGUCUCAGGGCACAUUAGGAUUUCUUGUUUCGGCAGAGAUCAAACUUAUUCCGAUCAAGGAGUACAUGAGGCUAACAUAUACUCCAGUUAAAGGAAAUUUACAGGACGUGGCACAAGCAUAUUGUGAUUCAUUUGCACCUAGAGAUGGGGACCCCUCGAAAAUCCCCGAUUUCGUCGAAGGAAUGGUUUAUAGCCCCACUGAGGGUGUUAUGAUGACUGGAGUGUAUGCGUCCAAAGAAGAGGCAAAGAAGAAGGGCAAUGUGAUAAACAGUGUGGGUUGGUGGUUCAAGCCGUGGUUCUAUCAGCACGCGCAAAAAGCGCUUAAGAAGGGGGAGUUUGUGGAGUACAUACCCACUAGAGAGUACUACCACAGGCACACGAGGUGUCUUUACUGGGAAGGAAAGCUGAUUUUGCCUUUCGCGGAUCAGUGUUGGUUCAGGUGGCUCUUGGGGUGGCUGAUGCCCCCGAAGGUUUCGCUGCUUAAAGCCACCCAGGGCGAAGCUGUUAGGAACUAUUACCAUGACAUGCAUGUGAUUCAGGAUAUGCUGGUGCCCCUAUACAAAGUUGGGGACGCGCUUGAGUGGGUUCACAAAGAAAUGGAGGUACAUUUUUCUCAUCUUCACUCUUAGUUUGCUAAUAUUACAUAUUAAUUUGUUUUCCUGCAUUCUUUUGUAGUUUUAAUGACUUUCUACUUCUCCUUUUCUCUUUAUUUUUAUGCAUUCUUUAUAGUUUUAGGCCUUGUCUCGUAAUGCACGUCCAACAGCAUCAAAUUUUAUGCUUUGCGAUAUCUAAAAAGUCCAAAGGCGCUUUUAAUCUUAGAUCUCUCCACUUCCGCAAUCAAAUGGUGGUGGCGAUUGCUACCAAAGAAGCAUGCAGCCGCAUGCUUCUCCAGUGGCGGUAGCCACUGCAAUUUUAUAACAUGAACGGAGGGAAGAUUGAAAGUGCUUUUGGAUUUGUUUGGACCUUCUAAAUAGAAUUGAGCGCUUUUGGAAACGCAUUACCAAACUAGGCCUUAAUUGAACAUAUAUAAAAAAGCUACAGACUGAAUAACUUAUUUUUAGCUUAUCGAACCCUCCAAAGAAGAUGCUCCUAUUUGAAGUUAAGCUUCUGCUGCCGCAGAAAGCUACUUGUUGGAACCUAAGUCUCCGAAAGGCUCUACUAGUGCAUCAGUACUGUAGAAGCUAUAGGCCGAAAUGAUUAUUUAACAAUUUUCUCCUACUUCAGGUCUAUCCGCUCUGGCUCUGCCCGCACCGCCUCUUCAAACUGCCCAUCAAAACCAUGGUCUACCCCGAACCAGGCUUCGAGCACCACCACAGGCAGGGCGACACUAACUAUGCCCAAAUGUUCACGGACGUCGGCGUGUAUUACGCCCCAGGCCCCGUCCUCCGCGGCGAGGAAUACAACGGCGCAGAAGCCGUUCGUAAGAUGGAGGAAUGGCUCAUCGAGAACCACGGGUUCCAGCCGCAGUACGCGGUCUCCGAGCUCAAAGAGAAGGACUUCUGGAGGAUGUUCGACGCCUCUCACUACGAGCGCUGUCGCAGGAAGUACGGCGCCGUCGGGACGUUCAUGAGCGUGUACUACAAGUCGAAGAAAGGGAGGAAGACGGAGAAGGAGGUUCAAGAGGCCGAAGCUGCGAUUCUCGAGCCGGCUUACGCUGAAGAAGCUUAGUUCGGCUUAGGUUCCGCCGAGUUUCGUCUUAUUUAUCCUUUUGCUUUUUAAUUAUCGAGAUGAGUUUGUGUAACCUGGAAACACUUGGGUGUUGUUCCUGCUGCUGCUGCUGUUGUUGUUGUUGUUGUUGUUGUUGUUGGAUGAUCCUUUUUUGCUAGUAAUUGGACUGGCUCUUUUAUCUAGUGCUUUUAACAGAUGAGUUCUUGGUGAAUUUAGUGCUCGGAAUGAUCAAGGAAAUGAAGCAAAUUAGUCCAAGUAGUUUCAAAAUCUACAUAAUAAAUUUACAUGGCUAUAUUUUUCUUGAGUUUGUUGCUUCAUAUGAGAUUAUCUGUUCUUCGAGAAGGUAAGUUUUGAAUCUCUUUCGCUUAAUCAAUCGUUAGGUGUCGACGACCGCAUCAUAUUUUAUAUUUUGGCAUAACUUAUGAUGUACAUGUAUCACUACUUUAAAAGACAAAAUCAACUGAAGAUAAAAUAGAAAAAAUAAAUAAGAAAAUUUGAUCCAAUUUUUUUUUAUUUCAAAUAAAAGAUGAUAUAUCAUUCGAUUCAUGUUAAUUAUUAUUAACAUGAUACAAUGAUGUGUCACUUGCUGCGUUUCAAAGUUUUGGGGGCCUUUUUGUAGAAAUAAAGAAAUCGUAAGGGGCUAUUUGGCAAAAUGAAAAAAAAAAGCCCAAUAUUUAAUCACGAGAUAAUAAAUGGCGGGAACCGUUCCAAAGCGCGAGCCAUAAAUUUCCCGCCACCUCUCUCCCCAUUUUCCCGCCACCGCCCUUUCUAUCUCUCUCUCUCUCUCUCUCUCUCUCCGCUUUGGUCGAUCACCGCUCACCAAAAUUCUAGGGUUAGGGUUUCCAUUUCGAUUGCGAGCACGAAAAUGUUCUCCUCACAGCUCGAUUCCGGCGCCUUCGCCUCCUCCCAAUCGACCCAAAAUCCUGAUUCCUCCUCCUCCAAGGUACCACAAAACCCUAGUUCCAGUGCUUCGUUAAUUACUGUUUCCCUCUGUUCUUCAUCUCCGAAUCUCCCGCAUUUCUCUUAGAAUCGCGGCGCUACGCCUCGGCCUCCGGUGACGUUGAAGCGGCUAAUCGAGGCGUAUCAAUCUAGCGACGACAAAUCGAGCGUUGUUGUUGAUGGGAUCAAUGCUACGAACGUAAACAUCGCACCUUUAUUGCUAGUUACUUCGCUAAUUGUUGCUGUGAAACCCUGAUCUUAGUCUCUUGCUGUUUAUGUGUUUGUUCGGGGGUUUUUUCGCAUGUUGCAGUUUAGGAUUGUGGGGCUUGUAAUGAACAAGAGGGAGCGGGCCACGGACGUUACAUUCACCAUCGACGAUGGCACCGGCCGGAUGGAUUUUCUUAGAUGGUGAAUCUAUUUUUAUAAUUUAAUCUUUAGGACUUAUUGGAUCUCUUUAUUCUUUUUUGAGUUUGUAAUUGGGUUUGUAUUAAUAAUUCUAUGAACUCUGAAUACAGGGUGAAUGAUGCUUCGGAUACGAACGAAACAGCUAUUAUUCAGUAUGCAUCGAUUGCCCGCUUUAAUUUUUCUGCGAAUUUGUUAUUAUUAUUUUUCUUUAGCUGUGCUAUGCAUGGUAUUUUUAACACCUUUUGUUUGUAACAAAGGAAUGGGAUGUAUGUCAAUGUAAUCGGUAGCAUCACGGGGUUUCAGGAGAGGAAGCGUGCUUCCGCCUUCUCUGUUCGGUAAAAUUGAUAUGCGGUUUCUCUUAUUUUUACAGAAGAAUCAAAAUUUUCCUAUUUGCAGAAAAAGUAAGAGGUUGAAAACCUCAAGCAGCUUCAUUGGUGAUAGUGUCGAAUUUUGCAAAUGUCAAAUUUUGCAAUAUAUCAUUGUCUCUGAUGUUUAGUGGAUAAUUGGAUUGACCUCAUAAUUGUUGUAUAUAAAUACUCGUAACUUGUGGCUCUAUGGCGACAAUUUGCAUUUCCGCUGCAGCGAAUUUCACAUUUAUAUCUGAUUAUAAUCAGUGAUCUCCACCUGUUAAAGUAGCUUUUCCAUAGUUUUGCCUUUGGGCCUGUUUUGGCCAGCCGGAGAUUCUUAGCAAUUUUGUUUUAAGGGAGAUUUUCAGGAAGCUCAAACAGCAUCAGUUGAAAUGUAUAUUAAUUUCUUAUACUCUCCGAUCAUCGUUCACUACUGUUUCUUAAAAUUCCUUUUACUUUAUUAUUGUAUUAUGUUCUGUUGUGCUGUAAAUGAGAAGUAAAAUUUGAAGAAAACGAAUGGGUGUUUUCAAUACUUUCCUUUUUUCCCCUUAAAUUGUCAUCUGAUGUUAUUAUACGAGCAUAAAAAUUGAUCUCUAUUUUUCAGGCCUGUCAUUGACUAUAACCAGGUUGCGCUCCAUUUCAUUGAGUGCAUUUACAUGCAUCUGAAGAACGCCAAAUCAGAGGUUUGCCUCUUUCUAUGUGCUGACCUCUGCAUGCAACUUACAAACACUUUUAUGUUGAAUCACAAGCUCUUAAUCUUUAAAUUCUUGUUCAUAUUUUACAGGUUGGUAGCUCCGCUUCAACCUCGUCAACUUUAGUCACUGGAACCCCUCUCUCGAAUGGCUUAAAAGAGCUCCAUUCUCAAGUUUCCAAUCAAGUAAACCAAUUUUGAAAUUUUAAUAUUCUUUUGUCCAAACACCAAUCUGCGGUAGGACUGUGUUAGUGAAAAUUUUGUGCUGUUUUAGGUGUCAGGACAAAGCGGAGUAAGUGGAUCCGAGACUGACAUCUACAAACUGGUGUUAGAUGUUUUCCAAGAACCAGCAAGCCUGUAAGUUUGUUUACUGUAGAACUUUGCCUUUUAUGACCCGAUUCACGUCAAAUAAGAAGUUAUCAUCUUUUCUUUCAUAUCACUACAAUGAAAAGUUGUUAUCAUUGAGUCUAAAUGUUGUUUUUCUGGAGUCCAUUAAUUGCCUAGAGAUAGUUGCUUGUCAACGCGAUACUCAGAAAUAUUUUGCGGCAUAAUUGUUUGCGAUGGUGAAUCCGAGCCGCCAUAUAAAUGCUACCAGCUGGAACGGGAUGGCUACCUAUUUCUGAAUAAACAUCACCAUCUACUUCUCAUUUGUUUCAAUUUAACUGCAUGAAUCUACCUUUUCGUGACUGGAGCUUGUAAAAGAAUUUCAAUCCUGGCCUAAAUGCGGAACACAAUACAUCUUGCUUAUUGUUAUUGGAAAUUUCUAUUCUGCUUUCCGUGGCUUGACACACGAAUCUUAUCUUACAGCGCCAACGAGCAUGGAUUGCAUGUAGACGAAGUCGUCAGACGACUAGGGCUACCGUCCAACAAGAUCAAGUCUCUCUCUUUCUCUCUCUCUCUCUUUCUGUGUGUGUGUGUGUGUGUGUAUGGUUCUUAUUCGUAUCAUCCUAUUAACGGUGCAGGGAAGCGAUUGAUUAUCACGUAGAUGUGGGCCAUAUAUAUUCGACGAUAGAUGACUAUCACUUCAAAUCCGCACUCAUCGACUGAUCAGCUGCGAAGUAGGAAGGAAAAUGUGAGGGCCAUAGAGAUAAUGCAGAGUAGUCAGGCUAGUAUCUGAAUGUUCAAAUUGCUUUUGGAGGACUCUGUUGAACUCAAAAAAUAUAUAUAUCUUGCUUCUUGGUUUGUAUUAUGUAAAUGCAUGCGAUUUUCAAGCACUAUUUGUCGCGCAAAAAAAUCGCUUGUUUUUAUCCCUCGCAUCUUUCAUUUGCAGUGAAUUGGUGCUUACAUGCUUUGCUUAGGUGUAUUAUAAUGACAGCUUAGACCCUGAACUUUUUUGUAUCAUUUGCGAAGCAAAAAUAUAUUCGUCGCAUUCUAGGACGAUAAAAUAAAAUUGUGCGAGUCAUUGCAUUCGCUAUCUCUUUACAAAUUUUGAUGCAUAUGUCUUCAAAUUUCACAAAAAAUGUUCAAUAAAUUAAAUUAAAUAUUCAUUUUGAAACUCCUUCAAAAGAGUUUUAGUGGAGCAGCGGUCCACGGUGCACCUGGUGCACAGCUUAUUUCUCAUCGUCUCGGCGUUGAGUGGGACCUACAAUUCAAACAUCUCAGCCGCCCACGUGCCACGUCGGAUGGUCAUGGUUCAUUCGCCGCCUUAAUCGCACGUCACCUAUCCUACGUGGCUCACCGACUCAAAACUUUGACUUUGAUAAAGUCAAACUAAUCCAAACCGUUAAAUCCGUCAUUUCACGCAUCGCUCGCAAUAUAUGAACCAUUGGAUCAGAUAAGUAGGUGUGUAAAAAAAAAAACGAUUAUUAUGGAAAAAAACGAUAAAAAUAAUUAAUUAAUUAAGUCCACGGUUUCUCUGCUCCGUUCCGUUUCGCAAUUCGCUCUCUAUCUCUCUCUAUAUAUAUUUCGAAUCGCGUCGUUUUUCCCCAAAUUUUCUUUCCAAUUUUUUCUAGGGUUUCUCUUCGCCUUGUUACGCUCAAAAUCCCCUGCGACGAUUCGUCUAGGGUUUCUUCAAUGGUGAGCGCUUCUUCUCCUCCGUAAUUGAGCUCGUCAUUGCAUUUUUGAUGGUGGAAAUCUAUGUUUUCUUUGAACAAUUGCUGUAAAAUUUGCUUUGAUUUGGACUUUUCCGUUGUUGGAUGAGAAAUUUUUAAAGUAUCCAAAUGGUAGUGAUUUGUUGCGUGUAACGUGUUUGUCAAAGUGCCUCUUUAUGAAUUUUGUUUUGAAGUUCUUAAAUUGUAAAUUUUUUUUUGCUUCAAACUUAAUUUUAGGGAUCGGCGGGAAUGGAGAACGGCGUGCUGGUUUUGACGGAUGAAAUUGCCCUUCCGAUUUCUGUGAUUAGGGAUCUCCAAAGUGAAUCUGUUUCGGAAGAUGAUGAUGUUGUUGUUAUUACACAGUGUGGCUCUCUAGGUUAGCUUUUGUGCCCAUUUAAGUGUUUAGUAAUGCAUCUUCUGCUGUUAAAUCAUGACCAGAACUCGCCGAAUCAUUAUGUUGCAUAAAGUCUCCGUAUUGAGAAAUUGCGGCUGCGAAUCGCAAAUCUGUGAAAGCUGAUUAGGCAAUUCUCACUGAUCUGUUGUUUUUAUGGAUUAGAUAGACGGCUUCAAUAAUUAUGAAAAACACGAACUUUAUGUGAAAACUUUUCUAUUCAUAACUUUGUGAUUAUGUAUUACCAUGGUGUCAAAUUCGUUAAAAAUGCCAAGUCUUAAGUUGCGUGACGCUAGUAAUUGGUUUCGGUUUGGAUUCUAAUAUUUUGUCAGCAGGGGCCAAGUUGCCAUUUGGGCCUGCUUCUUUCGAUGUCGUUGUUGCUGUGUCGUCAAGUUCCGAGUUUUUCACAGAGCGGUGGUUAGAAGAGAUUGGGAGGGUGUUAAAACCCAGAGGAAAGAUCUUAUUACAAACUUUUAUUGAGCAGGACAAGGUAAUAAUCCUUAUUGGAUUUUCUUUAUUUUUCUUUGCCCCCGCUUGUUAAAUGAGUGUAAGAUGCCAUGAAGUUAUUAAAUUCGUCCCUAAAUACAGCCAAGCUCCGCUUUAGAGCGCAAAUUACUGAUGUCGGGAUUCCUGGAAGUGCAAACUUUUGAAGCAAAAGCUCUCUUACCGUAUGAAAAAGCUCGAAUUGUUUCUGUGAGUAGAAAUGUUACUACGUAAAUUGGUUUAAUCUUUUUUCCUGUCAUUGUUUCUUGGUUUCUGUAAUGGUUUUGCGUGCGCGCGCAUGCGUGUGUGCUAUGUAGCUUGAGGGAAAGAAGGCUUCUUGGACAAUUGGGUCGUCUUUUCCCCUUAAGAAGGAGAAAAUUGUUCUUCCCAAGAUUCAGAUCGAUGACGAAUCUGAUCUAAUCGAUGAAGAUAGCCUCCUCACAGAAGAAGACUUGAAGAAACCACAGUUACCUAUCGGUACAGUACCAAGCACCAUUAACCUUGCCUAGUUGUUCCUAAUCUCUAAAUAUGAUUAGGCAGAUCUUAUUGUUUCAUUUAUUAUUGCGCUAGUCGGAGAUUGUGAACUGGGAAGCACGAGGAAGGCUUGCAAGAACUGUGUCUGUGGCCGGGCUGAGGCGGAGGCGAAGGUGGAGAAGCUAGGGUUGACUGCUGAGCAGAUAAAUAACCCUCAAUCUGCUUGUGGCAGUGUGAGUUGCGAUAAUCCUUCCAUUUAGUUUCGUUAAAUCCUUAAAAUUUCACCUUUUAUUCUGUAAUUGCACCAACUUUUUUGGAGGUUCAAGCUUAUUGUUUUAUUCAAGAAAUUAUCCUUCAUUAUAUAUAUAUAUGCUCCGGUAGAAAAUUUGCCAUAUAAGCUAACAUGAUCAAUACUGUAGUGUGGGCUUGGGGACGCAUUCCGCUGCAGUGGAUGUCCUUACAGAGGUCUCCCUCCAUUCAAGUCGGGCGAAAAGGUAUUUUAUAGAAAUCUCAAAAUGUUGACGGCAUUUCGCUGUAAAAUAUCAGCGUACUCAGCGUUCAUAAUUCAUAUCUGCAGGUCUCCUUGCCUAGUAAUUUUCUCGUGGCCGAUAUCUGACUGUAGAGAGAAGAGCAGCACCGGAUUACGUUGCCCAGUUUUGUUUCUCUCGCUUUCCUUUUAGUCAUGUUUCGAAGUGCUCGGAGAAAUAGUGGAUUGCAGAAAAUAGAUUGUAGCAGAUAGGUUCGAGUUUGUAGCGAACGGAAACUUUCGAAACUUGCUCGACCUGUUCAGAAGUUUGAGCUUAUUUGGAAAUAUAACAGAGCUCAAUGUUUUGGUGCCGAAGUAGCUACUAAGUUUCGCGGGCCAUUUGCUUUUCAUUAGCAGUGCUUUAGCUGUUGUAGACUUUUGUCGCGAAUUUGUCUGCUCUUGUUGUUUAGCAGUUCAUUUAGUUUCGAUUGAUUGUCGGAGAAACUUCUGAAACCGUUUUUGUUAUCUCUCCCCCUCAUUUCCUGUUUCUAUUCAAUUGUUGAACUUAAAAGCAUGUAUUUUCGUUGAUCUUGUUCGCCUCGCCUCAAUCAAUCGUAGUUUUAUUACGCGAAUCAAGGUCGUGAUUCUCAUAUUCGCACAAAAAAAAGAGGCGAAAAAACACCCUAAUUCAUGUACUGAUCUACUCCACAUGAGUCAGGGGCUUAAACCCUAUUUCUGAAAUGCACGAGCAAAGAAUCAAAUCCUUAACCCGGGUAGUUACAACUCGAUUUCUCUUUUAAAGCUGGACAAAUCGUGGCCAUUCCGUCUGAAUGUUACGAUGAUCUAAUAAUGACCAGCUCGAUGAUCGGAGUGCACCUCGCAUUCAGAAAAUCGCUCGAUUUCUCUUUUAAAGCUGGACAAAUUGCGGCCAUUCCGUCUGAAUGUUACGAUGAUCUAAUAAUGACCAGCUCGAUGAUCGGAGUGCACCUCGCAUUCAGAAAAUUGCCGAUGUAUAUGAAAAUUCUGCAUACGGGGUUGCAGAGAAUGUAAACGCUGUCAUUCGACAGAGCCUUAGAUAGCGGACCAGGUCCUAAAACAGAACAAGAUGCUGCAGGUCAACUUAUUUUGGGGGCCAAAAAAGUCUGCGUCUCCUCCUCACAGGGAAGAAGCUUCUUACUUGCAAAUAAUUUUUUUUUUAAAAAAAAAGGGAAAAAAUGCAAGGAGACCCCUUACCAUGUAGGAGAUUCUGAAAUUGUCCCCUUAACUGCAUUUCUUACAACUUAAAUAGUAAUCUUAAUUUUUUAAAACAAAUAAAAUUACAAAAACUUACCAUAAUAACUCAAUAAAUAAAAAAUUAAAUAGUAAAUGAAAUACAACUCAAGAAAAUGCCAAUAAUAAUAAAAAACCAGAAUAAUGUCGAGGGGCCUUUUGCAAAAACACCUAUAGUUGAGGGUGUCCGAGUAAAAAAAAGAAAAUUUUAAAAUAAAAUUACAGUUUGGGGAAAUCGCUUCUUCCGUGUUCUCUUCGCAUUUGGGGAGAAUCGAUUCCUCCCGACGCUACAACGGCGAUCGUUUUGCGUCGAAGUUCCCAACCUCUCCAUCUCCGAUCGAGCUCCGAUCUCAAUCAAAUCCCCCAAAAUCAAUCAAUCAAUCAACCAAUCACAUGGAUGUGAAAGAGACGAUCGAGGUACGUACGUACUUUGACCAAUCGAUACUCGAACUUUUUCAUAAUUGGCUAUCACAUCCCCGAUCCCCAAUCUCUCCAAUUUUCACUACCUUUUUUGGGCCAUCGAAUUUGCUCAACUAACUUUUCUAUAUAGAAAAAAUAUUUUUCCUUAAAAAUAUGUUUAAAAAUUUAGAAAAAAGAAUUAAAAUUUUUGUUUUCCGCUAUUUUUCAGCGGAAAAAAACGAAAACUCAAAACUUCAUUUAUUUACUUUUUUACCGAAUCAAACAAAUAUAGGUGAGUUUCAAGGUCGCCGAGAACAUCAAAACAUUUUCCUUUUUACGUAGGACGAGCAUGGCGCGACGACGAUCCUGACGGACGGUCGCGAACCCACAUGCUGGGGCUGUGGAUUGCGCCUGCUCGCAUUUAAGUGUGCAUGGUGUGGAGCAAUAACACAGGGAGAGCAAAACUCAAGGAGGCCUGACAGCAGGUGCUUUUCUCGCUGGCGCCGUGCCCGGGACCGGCUCUUCGCCGCCAUUCUCGCCUUGUUCAUGCUCUUUGUUAUAUGUAAGUUGCCUUGCUAGUUGUGAGACUCUUAUUAAGCUGUUAUAUCAUAUGCCGCAUUUCUGUCGGAUCGGUGACGCUAACUAUGCUAAAGCUGUUAGAAAUACACACGUACAGACAUAGCGCCCACGAAUCUCGAUUGUGACUCGGCGCAACAUGACCUUCCUCUACAAGGCAGAAUGCUGGUCCAUUUAAGUCAACAAUUUCAUCUAAUCUUUGCUUUUACGCGAAUGAUAGGCGGCGGAGCUUGGGCGGUGUACCCCGUCGUGUUCGCGAUCGGCUUCUCCUACGGAGUUUUCCACUGCGUUGUAACGGCUAUUUUGUCUCUCAUUACCCUCUCCACUUUCUGCUUCGCGGCUUUUCGAUCAGCUGGAGCGCCUCCAAACGUAUCGUGGGGGAGUUUUCCGGUUGUCGUCGGAAGAAAUGGUCUCAACGACUACACAUUCUGCGCGUACUGUCAAAAGCCGAAGCCGCUGAGAGCGCACCACUGCCGUUCCUGCAGAGCGUGCGUGACCGACAUGGAUCAUCAUUGCCCGUUCGUAAGUGCGAUUCAUAACUCUUACCAGUCUGCCGCUUUUCGUCGCUGUUCGUAUCUCGACAGAUUCAUUUACGGUUGCUGUCUGCAGAUUGGCAACUGUGUCGGAGCGGCGAACCACCGGUUUUUCGUCGCUUUUCUUAUCUCUGUAGUCGUCAGUUGUGCUUACGUUGUCGCGAUGGCAACUUAUGCCGCAGUUUUUGUAUGGCCUCGCGUAGAUCUCGGAGUACAUCUUAAAUCGCCUGGCCUCGAUUCCCCGGAAUUGUUGAAGGAGAUCGUCGCUGCGUUGGCUACUUCGGCGCUUUUUUUGUCUGCAAGAGGUUUUCUUCUCGUGUAUUUGGCUUUCGCAGGUCAAGUUCGAUUAAUCCUCGACAGAUUCAUGAUGUUCGUAGCGAAUAAAACCAGUGCAGACGAUGAUUCGUCAAAAUUUAAACGGAGUUAAAGGGUAAUUUACGUGAUUCAACACUUUGCAGGUUUAGCUGUCGGAAUCGGUGUAAGUGCGCUGCUGUGGCAGCAACUCUCUUCUAUUUACGACGGUGAGACGUACAUCGACCGUAUAACUUCGAAGAACGCUACGCACGACGAAAGGGGCUGCGAGAAUCUUCUUCGAUUCUUCGGUUGCCCAUAUUCAGUUUCUGGAGUGCUAUUGGGUCAGCGAAGGCCGACAGAAAAGAUACUGUAAAAUUAAGUAAUAACUGAAACUCCCUUUCUACUUUUUAAGUUCUUGCCUGUGCAAUCGGAGUCCGUUUCGCUAUCAUAUCUUAUCGUAAUCGUAAAUUUAGUAGCUGUAAAUGCGAAAGAGUCCAUGUAUGUAUGUGUAGUCGAUGCAGUAUCCUGAAUCGCAGUUCGGAAAAUACAAGUAGACUACUACAUGAUCAAACUGUUUGCUGUAAAAAAUCAGCUGUUGCGGUUGUUUAACCGUCUUUUGUUCUUUUCCGUGUAGGUUGUAACUGUUGUUGCAGUAUCAUGGCUUCUUCUAUUCAUCGAAACGAAGUUCGGCCGCUUCGCAAUUCCCGCUCUUUCGAACAAUAUGUAGCAUCAAUGCUCAUUCUGAUCGUACAAUUACUCAUUCUUGGUUCCCAGAAAAGGGGAAAAGUUGGAUACGUAUUCAGAACUCUCAGGCAAUGAAAACGAUACGGAAUUCGUUCGCGCUGUCUGAGAAAUGGAGGAUGUUGGAAACAUUUCGAAGCCAUUUGAACUUGAGCUUCAUUUGUAGACAAGCUUUUGCUGUUGUUUAUUCACUCUUUUUUCUUUUUUUUUUUUACUUGUAUUCUUCUGUACUGAAACAGCCAAAUUAAGGAAGGUAUUGUCAGUUUAUUUGAUCAAUCUUGGUUGCUGAAGUAGUAGUCUGUAGUCACAAAGACCAUCAUGUUUUAUUCCUGUCUUUUAAAUGGUCGCAAUUAUUGACACUACGAUACGGUGCGUAUCGGGACGUCCCAAUAUGUGCCGACCACAAAAAAUAUAUGUAUAUCGAUAUAUAAUAGUAUGAAAUAUUCAUUUUCUUUAGCAACAAAAUAUUUUAAUUAAUUACUUAUUAUGUAUUUUUAUUAAAUCUUUUAAAUUUAUUUGAGAAAAUUACUUAUUAAUUUAAAAAAAAGAAAGUUUUAAAUUGUAUUAUCGAUAUGAGAGCUAUAUCGUGCCGAUAUUUUAUUAGCAUGAUAGAUACAGUCCAUGUCGAUAGAUACUUAAAUUCUUGACAGUAAUUCGUCAGAAGAUAAGGUGAUAAAAUAAGUUAAAUUUUAAAAGGGAGCAAACCGUAAUAAAAGUAAAUAAGUAAAUACGCGACUUCUGUGUCUUACUGUAGAGUCUUUUCGACGCCAGAUAAAUCGACACUGAGCUUAAAGAUCAAGCAUAAUAAGCUGUAUUGUGCCGACAACUUAUUGACGCGAUACGGUACGAUAGAUAUAACCUGUAUCGAUGGACACUAAUAUAUUUGAUAAUAAUAUCGUCAAAAAUUGAGGUGAUAAAUUAAAUCAAAUCUACAAAAGGAGCAAACCGUAAUGAGAGUAAAUAAGUAAACACGUGACUUUUGCUUCUCAUUGUGGCUAAAAUAGAAAAAGAGAGAAAAAAAAAAAGGGAGUAAAAUGUAGCAAAGGUAAAUAAAUUGAGAGGUAAAAAGGAAAUAUUAAAAUAAAAAGUGGCGUCGCCCGGGUUCGAACCGGAGACCUUCAGUGUGUUAGACUGACGUGAUAACCAACUACACCACGACACCCUCAGAUGACAAAAUCAUGCUCNAAAAAAAAAAAAAAAAAAAAAAAAAAAAAAAAAAAAAACAAAAGGUGGCGUCGCCCGGGUUCGAACCGGAGACCUUCAGUGUGUUAGACUGACGUGAUAACCAACUACACCACGACACCCUCAGAUGACAAAAUCAUGCUCAAAUAUUUAUUUAUAAGUUUAAUUUAAUAUUUUAAUAUUUUAAAUUCAAUAGGGCACACAACAUUUUCUAUUUCCAGAUAUAAAAAAUACAUGCGCGAAGCCCUAAUUCCACUCCCAAAAUAAUAAUCAAUAAUAUCUGAGAUCGAGCACAGUAACUAAGCGAGAACUGGUUGAAAGAAACUAUUCGAACCCGAAAAAGAGCACGAAUAUAUACACUAAUCAUGGAUUAACUGCGUAGGUAAUUAGCAUGCGGAGGCAUUAACAUCCAAAUGCAUUGCAUUUGGGGCUUUUAUCUCGGAUUAAUUAAUAAUAAUAAUAUAUAUAACAUAAUGUGAUUAUGUGAAGCACUACUAAAGCACUUCUCCUCACAGCAGGUGAAUUGUGAAUGUGAAAGUCCACUUCACCAGUUUUUUUUUUUUUUUUUUUUAAUAGCAUAUGCCUUACUUUUGCAUGAUCAUAACUCCUUAAUUCUUUGGUUUUUUUUCAUUAUCAUCGCCGAUGUAUUAUUAUUAUUAUUAUUAUUAUCGGAUUGAAUCUGCAAACUAACAAAAAAGAAAUAAAAACAAAUAUAAAAAUUUCUUUCAUAUUAUAUAUACAGAUAUAGUUACGUGCAUAUACAAUCAUAACAUUAAUGUAAUUUAAGAGGCUACUGCGAGAUUCACAUGGAUAAAAUUUCAAAUGCUACAUACUUAGUGGUGUAUUUUACUUUUAUUUUUUUUUUAAUUUUUUUAUUGGUAAAAAAAAUAAAAUUAAUUAAUGUAAAAAAAGGUGGUGAUUCGGUCUGUGUUCUGGCUCGAACCCAACAAACCAGGUCUGCGCCUAAUCCGGCGCAAUCAACGGUGCAACGUGGUGCCUAAUUGUUUGGCGGGCGUAAAUUUCAUGCUUAGUCCCUGUUCUAUUCUCAAUUUUCAACUUGGUCCCCGAAAAUUUUGCUAAAAAAUAAUAAUAAUAAUAAUAAUGGAAAAGAGUCAGUUCCUGAACUUUUCUUCUACUUUUGCAAUUUUAUUCAUACCUUAAUUUUACACAAAAUUUUUUUUUAAAUAAAUUUAAAAAAGGUUUAGAAACUAUAAUAAUUGGAAACUAAAGGGUGCGAAUUGCAAAUUACAACACGAGCAUUCCAUAAAUUCCCAAUUGGGAAAGGGCGCGACGGUUGGGUUGGGGGGGUGGAGAGCACGGAUCAGCAAAUCACGGCCGUCCGAGAACGCAUCGACGGUCGAGAUCAGUUUAUUUCCGCUCCGGACUCUCACGCCGCACGUACUUUUUACCCGCUAAGAACACUCGCCCCGUACGACCCGACAAGGGGGACACGCGGCGAUUCCUCAUUGGCCCGACCGCACGUGUGGGUUAGGGGUGAGGGUUAUCGGAGUCCGGUAAUUCGCACGGAUACAUCUGCGGUGUACGGUUACGGUUCACCGGCCAUAGCCGGUUCCUUUGCGAGAUUGUUACCUGCACCCGGUGUAUACAUAUAUCUCAAUGCAAUAUUGUAACUCAGUCCGGAUACUAUACUCUUAUGAGUACGAUCGCCUUCGUACUAAUAAGUCGUUUUCGAUGAUAAAGCUUUCGAAUCAACGAUCCAUACCGUUAAACGUUAUCUAGAGCAUGCAUUUUAAACUUUUAGAAAUCAAAUUUUAUAAUUUUUUGACAUUAUUUACCUUACAAUCAAAAGAUCUCAAAAUUGACAAUUUUUAACAGCCGAUAUGGGACACUUGUUAGUUUAACUAUGUAAAAAAUCAAAAUUGAUUGAAUUUUUGAUAGAAAAUUUUAUUUACUAUGUAGAUAAAAGAUCAAUAACCCCGAUCAUCCAUUUUAGGACAUCGUUCAAUUUUGACUAUUUAUUUUAUGCACGCUUGAUAACUUUUAUUAUGAUUUUGAAAAAUUAUGAAAUUUAUUCUUUAAAAGUUUCAAAUACCCUCGAUCAUAUUUAAUGAAAUGGAUCGUCGAUUCGGAAGCUCCAUCAUUGAAAACAACUUGUGAGUACAAAGGGCUCUAUACUAAUAAGAGUAUAGUAGUCAUACUCUAUUGUACCUAAUUUUUAACUACUAAAUAUUUCCAAAAUUAAAAUCCAUCCUUAAAGACGCAAUCUAAAAAAUCAAACCAAACCAUGUAUACAAAAUCACAAGAGAGUUGAAGAUCUAAUUACUAGAACAUCAAGUGACGUCAAUAACCAAAAAAAAAGAAAAAAUUAUUAAUUGAAUUCAGAAACACAUGAUUCGCAAAUGUUCCAAUUGUACUGUCUAUGAAGGAUGAGAAUUAACUAUAUAUAGUAUCUAUAUCGAUAAUUCUUGUAUACACCCUUGAUCAAAUUGGUUAGAUUGACCUCUAAGUCUAUUAGGAUGUAUUAGCGUAUACAUCAUUGCAUCUCCAUUGUACACCUGCGAUAGUAACAAACCGCUCAUCUAGCUCUGAUCUUAAAUUAUCAAUACUUUUGUAGUUUCAUUCGCGCAGGAGCAGAGAAUUUGCCGGAGUAGGAAAGAAUCGCAUCCAUAAUUUUUGUAUGUAAGGCAGAGUUAUGUUUUGAUUUUAUGACCACAAUCACAAAUCAAAAGUUCCUAAAAGGAGUGGUGUAUGAGAUAUACUUAUGCAAAUGGUGUAGGCAAUAAUUUAUUGUUUUCCCCACCUCUCUCUCUCUCUCCUCUAUUUAUAAGAGAAAUAACAAGUUCUAUUGGUCACCUUUUCCUUCACCAUUUUCACCACUCACUCUCUCUCUCUCUCUCUCUCUCUCUCUUAAAAUUCUCUCUCUCUCUCUCUCUCUCUCUUAAAAUUGAGAUUUUUUUUUUUUUUUUUUGAGAAGGUGAUAAGAUUGUGGGUAUGUUCUCCACAGGCUUUCUUGAACUGUGAACUUGGAUGGAUUUUUUUUUUUUUUUUUUUCACUCUGAAGCCCCUCUACUUUUCCUUAAUUAUAAAUUAUAUCAUGUUGAGGAAACAUAAAAAGAGUAGAGAGAGAGAUCCAUAAACUUGUUGAUGGUUCAAGAAAGUCCUUGGAAAACAUAACAUAUCUUAUGGGGAAAAUCCAAGGAAAACAAAAAAAAAGAGGUAUAAAUAUACACCUUUGUUUGAUUCAAUUCUCAUUUUUUGAUUUUCAGUGGUUAAUUUGCUCUUAUAUAUUUUACUUAUUCUUUUUCUCUCUUUUUUUUUUUUGCAUUUUCCAUUUCUACAAUUUUUUUUUUUUUGUUGUUGUUGAGGUAGGAAUUUACAACUAAAGAGAAUUACAAAUACUUUUUUGGUGAUUUAAUUAUGGGUUUUCCUUCUUUUUUUUUUUUUAUGGGAAUAUUUUUGAAUUUGGAUUUGUAAUUUCCAAAUUUGGCAUCUAGAGAGUCCGCGAAUUUUUCCACUUUUGUCCAUGAAAUCAUUUUUGAAAACUUAAAACUGUUUUGAGAAUUGAUGGGUUUUGGACCAAAAAAAAAAGAAAAGAAGUCAAAAUAGAAGAAAAAAGGAAAAAAAUAAAAAAAGCUGUAGUACUUGUGAGAGCAUGAAUUGACACUACUGACACCAACUUUUCACACUAUUGAACUUGUGUUCUCCAAAUAUUAAUUAAUUAAUUUUAUGUGGAAUUUUCAUUACAUUUGGAAAUCAAAUUAUUAAUAGAGUUUAACUAAUUAGUUUCAGUUCAAAAGAAUUCAAUUCAAUUUGAAUUACAUAAUUCUCGAUUAGUUUUGGGGUUUAAUUGAAUUUUAUUUCGUUUUCUCAUUCGAGAAGAGACAAAAGAAAAAAAUUAAACAUAAUAUAAUUUAAUAUAUAAUAAAAAUUGUCAUUAAGUUCUUUCAAAUUAAUCAAACUUCUAUGAAGUAAUUAAUAAUUUUUACGCACCAUAUUAAAUAAAAAAAAACCUAAAUCUCUGAACUAUUUAAUUUUUUAUAUUACUUUAAGAUUUUAUGGGGAUCUCCUUAGUAUUCUCAAUCGUUUGUUUGGAUCUAUAAUUUAAUUAAGAAACAAUUCUCAUCCCUAGUGAAAAUGUGUACAUACCUUUUGUUAUGAGUAAUUAUUUUAUACACAUGUUGUAUCUAUAUAUUUCAUGCAUCACAUUUAAUAUUUAAUAAUUCAUAUUUUAAAUUAAAAUAUAUCCAAUAUACACAUCUAAUCAUUACUUUUCAUUAUCUAUUAACUAUGCACUGAGUUGGGGUGACAUUCGUAUUUCAGCCGAACUUCUUAUUUUCGUAAAUCGAUAAAAAUAUCUUCUUCGUUGAAAUAUUUUAUUUUUUGUAUGAUCUUGAAUUUUGGUAUAUAUUUAGUUCUAUUAUCAUUUACAUACCGAUAUGGAUCUAUAAGUAAAAUCCUAUUUAAUUGUUUAUGAUCUUAAAUUUCGAUAUCAAUUUAGUUUUAUUGUUAUUUUAUGUAUCGAUAUAGAUCUAUAAGUUAAAUCCUAUCUUAAAUCGACGCAUCUAAUGUUUUUUUUUUUUUUUUUUUUUUUUUUUUUUUUUUUUCUUUCGAUAAGCGAUGCCGGUAAUAGUUUUUGCAGCUUUUUGGGUCCGCAACAAGCGGGGGGGCCAAAAAGAGGAACUGGGAAAAGACGGGUUAAAGGAGGAAUGUGGGGAAAAAGCAUAAAAACACACACACACAUCUCAUGCGGGGUUCUGAAUCAAGAAGCACUUUGCCCCCUUGCAAUCACAGACAAUGGAUUGGAUGGUUGGAGCCACAAACCCGAACUCUGUUGACUUAAAUGGGCCAGCAUCUUAUCUUAUGGCGAGAGGUCAUUGUUGGGCCGCGUCAUGUUCGAAAUAACGUAAGGCUAGAUGGGUCGAGUCAUGUUCGAAAUGACGUAAGGCUAGAUCGGUCGAGUCACAAUCGAGAUCCGUGAGUGCUGUAUCUCUACGCUUUAAGUCAAUUGGUUACGUAUUUAUAACAGCUCAAGCUUUUGGGAUUAAUGGUUAGCGCCAACGAUCCGACAAACUCAAAUUCAAAUUCGAAUCCGAACUGAUAAAGAUAGAAAAGAAAAAAUGGUUGGGGGUUGGUUAAUUUAUGAAGUGUUUAAAAACAAUAAUGGCCACCGCUACUUUUUAAUUAAUUUAUGUGGUCCAUUUCGAUAUUUGAAAACAUUACAUGUGUAUAUUUUUUUAAAAAAACUCAUGAAAAACUUCCCUCCGUUAUUACCAUGCUCUACAGCAGAACCAAACAAACACUAUAAAGUGGUGGAUUUAGAUCGGAGUCGACGCGAUCCAACCCCGACCUAACCCUACUCCAGAUAAAUCAUGUACAACGAGUUCUUUAUUUCCCAUGUUAGGUUGUCCCCACAUUUAUUUAUUUAUUUAUUUAUUUCUCUCUUUUGCUUCGUUCCACAUAAUAUUUUAGAUUCUUUUACGGUUCAAAAUCUUAGUAAGUUUUGAUGUAGUAUUUAUAAAUUUACGUACCUUGACAUGGAGCAAAUACGAUUAAUCGUGGUCCCUUAGAGUAGAUUCUUCCUGCAUUUAAGAAUAUAAUAUUUUUUUUACCGUAACUUUUGGGUAAGUUAUUACAUUUUGAAGUUCCUGAACUAUUGCAUAUAAGUUUUAUUUAUUUAUUUAGAUAAGCUAACUUAAAAAUCACACAUUUUGAAUUUUGUCAUUUAUAAUUAAAAUUUUUUAACUUUACUAUCUUAUAUUUUUAGAUACUUUUGAUGUAGAAAAGCAUUGGCGGAGUUUAUCAUCAUCACCACUAAAAUAGUUAAAAAUUAUGCAUGCUAAAUUCCUAAGUUAUUAUGGAAUAUAAUUCAAUUCCACGGACUUUUACAAAAGAAAAGUUUAGAAUUUGGGGGCUUGAGGAUUGUUUUUAAAUUAUUUGAAAAGUUAGGGACAUGUGUAGAAAUCAUCCUUUUUCUUUGGAAAAAAUAGGGUAAACUUUAAAUACUCCCUCUGUGAUUUCAUACUUUCUCACUUUAGUAUCCUGUGGUUUUAUUUUUCUCUUUUUAUUAUCUAUUUUACUAAUUUUUUUCGUUAAAUCAGUAACAAAGUUAAAACUAAAAGGUACUAAAGUGAAUAUUCGAUGAACCUAGAUAAAGUAUCUGAAGUUUUUUGUAUAUAAUUUAACGAAAUAUUAACGGAGGAAAAAAAAUCAGUGACAAAGUUAAAAUUGAAGGGUACUAAAGUAAAUAUUCGAUAAAUCUAGAUAGGAUAUCUGAAGUUUUUUUGUAUAUAAUUUAACAAAAUAUUAACAAAGGAGCCGACGAAAAGAGAAAAAUAAAACCACAUGGUACUAAAUUGAUGCACUUUAAACUAUAGUGUACUUUAAACUACAGGGUACUACAGUGAGAAAGUGCGAAACCACAGGUACUAAAUCCAUACACUUUACUUUAAAUUACAGGGUACUAAAGUGAAAGGUGCGAAACUACAGGGGUGAUAUUUGAAGUUUUUUCAAAAAAAAAAGGUUGGGCUGAGCGCCUGAGCCUGAGACGAGCACAAGAAGAGCCGAACCGGAAGAGCCCGAACCGGGUCGGGUUCGGUCUUCUGCGAAAGCAAAAGCCCGGUUCAAAUUGCGAACCGCUUCUUCUCCUCCAUUCCCCCGAAUCCCCCGCCCCUUCUCUUCCACGCCCAUGGCGUCGUCUCUGUUCAUCCGCGCCGCGCGCAAGCUCCGGGCCCCGACCCCGACCUCGACCUCGAUCUCGCUCUCCCCCCUCUCCCUCCUCUCCCACCUCCAAAACCCUAGCCCCCUCCCCGCUCCUCAAACCCUAGCCCCUUCGCUCCCUCCCGCGAUCCAUCCUUCGACUUGGAUCGCGCCCUCCACUCGCUCGCCGAGGAUCCUUCGGCGGUUCCCGUUCGAACUAUCCGUCGCUUCGAUCUCGAGCUCCUCGGGGACCGCCGACGAGAGGCCUGGUAGGGCGGCCGAUGGCGGCGGCGGCGGCGGAGGAUCGCCGGCUCCGGCGGCUCCGGCGCCGUCGUGGGUGGAGCUGUACGUCCCGGCGUCGGUGCGGCCGUAUGCUCUUCUGGCGCGGCUCGAUAAACCCAUCGGAACGUGGUUACUAGCUUGGCCUUGCAUGUGGUAUAAUAUUACUCCAUCCUUUUUCUCUCAAAUUAUGAUUACUGCGACACCUUCUUCGCACAAAGUUCAAUUUGUUCGGAAGGUUUGAGUUUUUCUACAAUUGAACUAUUUGUUGAAGUUUAAGAGCAUAGGAGGUGUUUGGAUUGAUGUAAUUGCAGUUUAGCCCUGAAUUAACUUUGUAAAGAAUUGUAACAUUAGCCCGGUCGUCGAUCACGACUAAUCCAAAGAGAUCCACCUGCAAGCCAUGAGCUCAAAUUCUUUGAAAACAAUUUCCCCUCAGAAUGGUCCGAAGCCAUUACGGCUGGGACAAAUAUCUCUACUCUCAUUGAACUUGAUUUACGGCUAAAAACUGGUUAUUUAUCCAUUUACAAAUAGUAGAAUAUUUAGUCCUCUUUUUGUUUAUGAAGGUUAUGAAGGUCUUUUGUGCAUUUUGUAGAUCUUCUGUUCCUACUAAUUAGAGGAGAAAGAAGCUUCAGUAGAAUGAGAUUGAUCAUUUUUUUUUGUGUGCUAUUUUAUGCUGUGCUGAAUGCUGUCGGAGGUGAACCUAUUUUACAACUUUGGAACAGUUGCCGUAUAUUCGUGGGCAAUCCAUAAUCCAUACAUGAUAUGCUUAAGAGCGAGUCCCUAGAAAUAAAAUAAAGCAUUGCGAAGUCGUAAAGUUGGUGCGCUUGUCUUUUAACAUUUAUGAUUUUGUGUUCGAAUAAUACCCGCUGAAGGGCGUAUUAAUCCUUUCCUGAUCAUUUAUUCUAUUUAGGUCCAUCACGAUGGCCGCAACACCUGGGGAGCUUCCUAAUUUGAAAAUGUUAGCACUGUUUGGAUGUGGUGCUGUGCUUCUAAGAGGGGCUGGUUGCACAAUAAAUGACCUUCUUGACCGCGACAUUGAUAAGAAGGUACUUCCUACUUAAUUCCAUUGAAAAAUGGCAAAUUAUGAAAUUUUCAGAUGCCAUUAAAUGAUUUCCUAGAUACUUCAGCGAGCUUCUCACCUCAUCUUAUCAAUGUGCAAAAGGCAUCUGCUCAAUUUUGAUAUCAUCGAAAACAUGAUUCUCUGUUGUUUCAUUUUUCUUUUUAUUCUGUCAAGUUUGCUGUUUGCAUUUGUUUCACUCAGCUAUAAAUGUUUUCCUUUAAUUGUUAAUUAUUCUUUUAUUCAAAGAUUAGGUGUUUGGCUUACUCUAUGGUUUGCCACAUACGGCGAGCAUAUCUUCUACAUAGGCAGCUACUCAGAGGAGAAAAUAUUGUGCUUGCGUGCUUGCUUGCUUCAUACAGAGAUUUUCUUUUUUCCACAGGUUGAGCGCACGAAAUCCAGGCCUUUUGCAUCUGGCAUAUUGACACCAUUUGAGGGUCUUUCCUUUCUUGGUUUUCAGCUUCUGCUGGGCUUGGGAAUUCUUCUUCAACUUAAUAACUACAGGUAAUAUAAAUCUCUAGCAUCCUAUUUGGUAAUCACAGCAUGAUAAGCCAUUAGUGUCUAGCUUCUUAUCAGCUAAUGUUACGAUGAAGAAUUUUUCUUUACUUUUGAAGUUCCAACAGGCCUUUUCGUUGGGUAGUUGGGAUUUCUCACUUAGCAGUGUAAAUUUGCGAUGUGUAAGGUUAAAUUUGCUGGGGCCAUAUGAGAAUUGUGCUUGGUUGUUGUUCUCCGUUGAAUUUGAUAAAUGAUGGAUUUUGUUGACAAGUAUACUCUGGGUUGACCAUCGUGUGAGAAACUAUACUGUGGGAUAUGUGCUUGUUGCUUACUUUUAAAUUUUAUAGCGCAAACAAUGUUCUGAGUUUGUCUAAGACCCACUGAUAAUAAAGAUAUAUCUUAUUUAAAUUUGUUUUAUGUGACAAUUUUACAGCUGAAACUCUGUUUUUUCUAAUUUGAUGUAGCCGUGUUCUCGGAGCUUCAUCAUUGUUUCUGGUCUUUUCUUACCCUCUUAUGAAGAGACUGACAUUUUGGGUAUGUGCUAGCCAUUGGUUGUAACACUGAUAUCAUAUGAUUGUAUAUGCUGAGAGAAGUAAUUACUUGUUUUAGCCUCAAGCAUACCUCGGCUUGACCUUCAACUGGGGGGCUUUGUUAGGAUGGGCUGCGAUUAAAGAAAGCUUGGAUCCUUCUAUCGUCCUUCCACUCUACACUGCCGGUGUAUGUUGGACGCUUGUAUACGAUACCAUAUAUGCACAUCAAGUAUGUUUCCCCCACAGCCCUCAUUGUAUGCUUCUCGUGAAUGCAACUGUUGUACUAUUUUUAAUCUAAAAACUUACUCAGGAUAAAGAAGAUGACCUGAAAGUGGGAGUUAAAUCUACCGCAUUGAGGUUUGGAAGUUUGACCGAGUACUGGAUAACUGGGUUUGGUGCUGCUUGUAUCAGUAGCCUAGCACUAAGUGGAUAUAAUGCCGAGCUUGGUAUGCACUUACCUUUCCUUAAGAUGUCAUCAAUGCAUAAAUUUACAUUUACUAUUCACACAUGUUUCGUACGACAGCAUGGCCCUUCUAUCCAUUUCUGAUUGCUGCAAGUGGUCAGUUAGCUUGGCAGAUCUUAACCGUUGACUUGUCUAACCGUGCAGACUGCAACAGAAAGUAAGUGCAUGGCAUUAUCAGCCUUUUUUAUGUGUUGUAUUGCCAUGUUAAGUCGGGAUCUUGCCUUGUCUGCAACUGUUUUGCCUGAAAAAUCAGUACUUACUCUGUUGGCAUUUAUGUAAUCUGAUUUAUCUGAUGUAAAAUUUUCUCCAGAUUUGUUUCCAACAAAUGGUUCGGAGCACUCGUAUUCAGCGGCAUCCUAUUCGGACGCCUCGCUUCCUGAGAGGUAAUCCAUGCUUUAGUCAAGGCCUGAAAUUUCUCGGUGUGCAUUGGAUAAAAUCAGUGAAAACCUAAAAAGAUCCUCAUAAAACACAGGACCAGCUGCUGGCUCAGUAAGUCCAACAACAUCUCACUGUUCAUAAUUUGCAUUAUUUAUUCCGUAGAUUAACAUAAUUUUCGCAUUAUGUAUAACAAUAUGGGCAUCAUUCUAAUUUGGUUAUUAAAAUAUAAGCAGGUUUUGCUCUGAGCUAUUCAAAAUUUUGGCCCUCCGAACCAUUUCUUUUUCAAACUAGUUUCAAAGAAAAAGAUAUAUAUAUAUAUAUAUAUAUAAUAAUAAUAAUAAUAAUAAAUUAUGUUCCUUUAUGUAAAAUUACAAUUAGAUUAAGUAGCUGUAACAUUCAUAUUCUUCAUUGAUAAUUAUGUUUUGCGAGCUGGGUUGUCUUGUACCAUUGUAUUUAUACAUAAGAUUAUAUAUUAUUGGAUUACAUUCAACACAAAUCACAAAGCACAUUUGAUGCUACUUAACUGUAGGAUAGGGGUGUAUCGUAAACCCAAUUGUUCCCCCUCUUUCGGGUUGUGGAUAUCGGGUGCAUGAGUUUCGGGUUGGGGUUGGGGCUAGGGAGCCUAUAGGCCACCUCAAAAAUUAAAUUAAAUAAAAUAAUAAAUAAAAUCAAAUGUGAUGUUGUUCGGUGCAUCUGAUACAAUUUUUCUUGUUCUUUUCUUCGACACUCCACGUGACACACUUUAAGUUCCUUUACCAGGUGUACCAUUAAUGCUCUAAAUUUUUUAAAGUAAAAAUGUACGGAAACCCCUCUUCUAUUUGCUACAAUUUUGAAAUACCCUCCUCAGCUUUAACUUCUUUGAUUUUAUCCCUUUCACUUUAAAUUUGUUUAAAUUGAGUUUUCCUAGUUGGUCAAGUUAAAAAGUUUUACUAAAUUUCAUAGCUUUAUGAGCUAUUUUAGUUACUAUUUGGUCUAGUUUAUUUGUUAAAAUAUGAUUAAAAUUAUUAAAUUUGAUGGAUUUAUUUUUGAAUUUUAUAAAAUUAUUAAUUAUUUGACUAAAAUUGUCCAAUUCCAAAAAAAAAAAAAAUCACAUGAUUAGAAGGUGUUGAUAAAAAAAUAAAUAUAGAGGGGGGGUCUUCAUACAUUUUCACCUAAAUUUAAGCCCAUGUGAAACCCCAAUACCAACUCCAACUCUAACCUGGCACAGCUAUAUGUUGUGCUGUUUCACAACUGGCUUAUUUUAAAAGCGCUUUUGGUCUUAUACACAGGAGUCAAAUAAAUUGACUCAUGAUGACCUUAGCUGUUCCCCAAUCUAAAUGUGGUUGCAUCUCCGCACCUUCCUUUUUUUCAUUUUAGGUUGAAAAUAUAGUUAAUUUUCAAGUAGACCUUGAAUAUUUCUUUUAUUAGUAUCUUCUUAAUUUAACUAUAACGGACAGUCUAUAUUGAUGUCAAGAGUUCGAGUCUCUGUGUAUGUGUGAAUUUGGAGCUCGAAUUUAUGAUUUGUGCAGAUGGAUAUUGUAAAAAUAAAAACAAGAAUGAUAUUAUAAGCUAUUUGUUGUUAAUUAUUGACCAAACUUCUAGCAAAAAUGGUGAGUGACUCCAAACAUAACCAAUCACUUUUUAUGUUAUUAAAAGUUGAGCAGUGCCAAUCUAGUAAGUGGAAUUUGAAGGAGCAUAUCUGACAACCACCUACAUUAAAGGUGGUUUCAGUACAUUUUUAUUUUUUUAUUGUUUUUGUAAAUCACACUCUCUCCUCCCACUCUCUUUCCUUUUGCUCCUCUCUAUAAAUGGAGAAAGAAACUCUUCCACUCCCUGUCACCACCACUAGUAUUAGCUCUCUCUACUUGCUAGAGUGUUCUUUCUUUUUCAACUACUCUCUACAUCCUCCACCACCCAAAUCACUAGCAAUCUCCAUGGCUCUCUCCAAACCCCCAUUCAUGGCUUUCCUCUUCCUCUCCAUGCUUGUGCUCCAAUUGGUCGAUUCGCGAUCUACGGUCGACGAUAAUUUGGUGAUUAACUCCCUAAAUUUUUCCAACUUUUUACUUACAAAAACAUAUGCUAAUUAACAUGUGAGAUUAAACACCUGGAUCUCUCUCUCUCAACUCAACUAUUUUGUUGUGUUCAUUUGUAUCUUAUGCAGGUGACAAGCAGUAUUGGGAGAUCUCUUCUUCAGGCACCUAAAAUAGGUAUAUAUGCCUAAGCAUCUACUUGUAGAGUAUAUUAUAUUUGAAUGCAUGAAUAUUUUAUUCGGAACGUCUCUUGUUUUCACUCAAAAUGUAUGUAAAAUUUUACAUACAGGUGAAAUACGCUGUUCUUCCAAACUUUAAGAAAACCUUAUAAAAAGUUUAAAUCAAAGUCCUAUUAGGAAUCACAUAUGAAAGUCCUCAUAGAACAUAAGUUAUCAAUAGAUACGUUAAGUCAAAUGAGAAUUUCUAGUUAAGCAAUCUUGGCAGUAUUAUAACUAUAUAUUUCUCUAUUUAUAUCGAUAUCUAUACAUUUAUAAAGACGAGAAAGAGUCUCUUCUAUCUUUAACUUUACUAAUGUGAUAGUACCUCUGUUUCAUUAAUUCUUUAAUUUAUAUAAAUAUAUUCUACAUUAUAUAUAUGUACAUUUGUAUGUUGUAUAAAUGCCGAUAAAAUAUCUUUGUUAAUUACCUUUUUUUUUUGGGUUAAUAUUUUUUGGUUCUUUUUUUAGAUUGCGGGGCGGCGUGCGCGACGCGGUGCAGCAGGAACUGGAAGAACAAGAUGUGCAGGAAGAUGUGCGGCAUCUGCUGCUCCAAGUGCAGCUGCGUGCCGCCAGGCACCAGCCAGGACACCCGUGGCCUCUGCCCCUGCUACGACGCCAUGCGCAACCCCGCCGGCCACCCCAAGUGCCCUUAAUCAUCAAAUUAUUAAUUAUAACACCCUCUUAAUACGCCAUUUUAAGUUAAACGACAAAAUAAUGACAACUUAAAACUAUGCUGUAGAUCGGUUUAGUUUGAGUACUGUUGAGGAGAGGGUUGGGAGUGGUUUUUAUUUAUUUUGGUACAUGCACUGUAGUUGAUAGUUUAUUUUAGGGGAAACUUCAAAUAUCUCCCUGUGAUUUCGUACGUUCUCACUUUAGUACCCUGUGGUUUAGAGUGUAUCAAGUUAGUAUUCUGUGGUUUCGCACUUUCUCACUUUAGUACUCUAUGGUUUCAAGUGUAUCAAAUUAAUACUAUGUGGUUUCGCGCUUUCUCACUUUAGUAUCCUGUGGUUUAAUAUUUUGUUAAAUUAUAUACCCCGAAAUGAAUAAUAAAAAGAGAAUUGAAACCACAUGAUACUAAUUUGAUACAAAAAUGAAACCACAUGGUACUAAUUUGAUACACUUGAAACCACAGGGUACUAAAGUGAGAAAGUGCGAAACCACAGGGUACUAACUUGAUAUACUUUAAGUCACAAGGUACUAAAGUGAGAAAAUGUGAAACCACACAGGGGUAUUUGAAGUUUCCCCUUUAUUUUAUGAUUCGUUUGAUGUUUUAUUUGAUAAUUUUUUGGAUGUUAAUUUGACGAGUUUCGUAUACUUUUAUUUUAUUAACUGGAAUCAUGGGGAAGUGGGCCAUUUGCCCGAAACCCUGACACUCGUGAAUUAUAUUUUCUCGACUGUAUUCGAACUGAUCAUCAAUGCUGUUAAAUAUUAUUGAAAUUAUUUAAAUUUAUGGAUUACUAAGCAAAUAAAAUUUGGUUCAUAAAAAUUUAAAUAGCUUAUAUUAUACUCAAUAAAACUGUUCAUAAAUGCAAGGAAACAAUCUCUUUUGCUUCUAAAAGUAUUUUAUUAUUCACAAAGAUAAUGAAUUCGGCGAAGAUCAUUUUGUAUAACGAAAAUUUUACUCACAUAAUUGCAAGAGAUAGGGAGUUCUCUCUUUUCUAAGAGAGAGAAAAAUAACAUUAUUUGAUUUAAUUAUUUUUUAAAAAUAAAUAAAUUUGGUUGAAAAUAUUAAGUUUUUGAAUAUUUUACGAAUGCUAGUGAAAUUUAAAUAAAAAUAUAAAAAAGCGGCAAUUUUUAUCUUUGAUUUUUCUCACACACGUGAGCAUUGCAUGAAUGCAACGUGAUAAGUACACGUACUCCCCUCGUGCCAUGCAACGAAUCACGCGGCCCAAAUUACUCGAUCAUCCGUACCUAAAUUUUUAUUUUUUAAAUAAAAUAAAAGAAUCAUUCACGAAGCAAAAAGUUCGAAAUUAAUGCCUCUGUACAAAUAUACAAAGACCAAUUUGCAUAAAAAAAUUUAUUAAUUUUGAACUUUUGAAAAAAUAAAUCAUUCUUUUAAAUUUUCUUUUCAAAAAUAAAAUAAAAUAAUUAAAAAAAUCAAAAUGUGAUGUUGUUCGGUGCAUCUGGUACAACUUUUCCUUGUUCUUAUCUUCGACACUCCACGUGACACACUUUUAAGUUCCUUUACUAGAGGUACCAUUAACGCACUAAAUUUUUUAAGGUAAAAUUGUACGGAAACCCCCCUCUUCUCUCUAUAUUUGCUACAAUUUUGAAAUACCCUCCUCAGCUUUGACUUCUUUGAUUUGAGCCCUUUCUCUUUAAAUUUGCUUUUUAAAUUGAGUUUUCCAUCUCACAACCACCUCCAUUAAAGGUGAUCUCAGUACAUUUUUAUUUAUUUUUUAUUUUUGUUGUAAAUCACACUCACUCUCCUCCCACUCUCUUUCCUUUUUGCUCCUCUCUAUAAAUAGAGAAAGAUACUGUUCCAUUCCCUGUCACCACCUCCACUAGUAUUAGCUCUCUCUCUCUACUAUAGCUAGAGUGUUCUUUCCUUUUCAACUACUCUCUACAAGUCACUAGCAAUUUCCAUGGCUCUCUCCAAACCCCCAAUCAUGGCUUUCCUCUUCCUCUCCAUGCUUGUGCUCCAAUCGGUCGAUUCGCGACCCACGGUCGACGAUAAUUUGGUGGUUAAUUAACUCCCUAAACUUUCCAACUUUUUACUUACAAAAACAUAUGCUAAUUAUUAACAUGCAUGUGAGAUUAACUAAACACCUGGAUCUCUCUCUCUACUCAACUCAACUAUUUUGUUGUGUUCAUUUUUAUUUUAUGCAGGUGAUCACAAGCAAUAAUGGGACAUCUCUUCUUGAGGCGCCUAAAAUAGGUAUAUAUAUAUAUAUAUGCCUAAGCAUCUACUUGUAGAGUAUAUUAUAUUUGAAUGCAUGAAUAUUUUAUUCAGAACGUCUCUUGUAUUAAUUCACUCAAAAUGUAUGUAAAAUUUGAAUACAAGUGAAAUACGCUAUUCUUCCAAACUUUAAGAAAGCCUUCUAAAAAGUUAAAAUCAAAGUCCUAUAUAUUAGGAAUCAGAUAUGAUAUGAAAGACCUCAUAGAACAUAAGUUAUCACUAGAUACGUAAGAUCAUAUGAGAAUUUCUAGUUAGUUAAGCAAUCUUGGUACUAUAACUAUAUAUUUCUCUUUUAACUUUAGCAUUACCAAUGUGAUAGUAUCUCUAUUUACAAUUAUCUUUCAUUAAUAAUUCUUUAAUUUAUAUAUAUAUAUAUAUAUAUAUGUUUCUAUAUUCUACAAUAAAUGUUAAUCAAAUCUCUAUAUGUGUUCACUCUCUUUGUUUGGGGUUAACUUAAUUUGUUUUGGCUCUUUUUCAGAUUGCAGGGCUGCGUGCGCGGCGCGGUGCAGCAGGAGCCGGAAGAACAAGAUGUGCAGGAAGAUGUGUGGCAUCUACUGCUCCAAGUGCAGCUGCGUGCCGCCGGCACUGGCCAGGACACCCGCAGCCGCUGCCGCCGCUACGACGCCAUGCGCAACCCUGCCGGUCGCCCUUAAUCAACAAAUUAUUAAUUAUAACACCCUCUUAAUACGCAAUUUGCAGUUAAACAGCAAAAUAAUUCUUACUUAAAACUACGCUGUAGAUCGGUUUAGUUUGAGUACUGUUGAGGAGAGGGUUAGGAGUAGUUUUUAUUUUGGUGCAGUUUAGUUUAUGACUCGUUUGAUGUUUUAUUUGAUAAUUUUUAGAUGUUAAUUUGAUGAGUUUCGUAAACUUUUAUUAUAACUGGAAUCAUGGGAAUGUGGGCCAUUGGCCGAAAUUCUGAUACUGGCAUUCUGCUGCAUUAUAUUUUUGGAACUACAUUCGAAUUGAUGAUCAAUACUAUUUAAUAUUAUUAAAAGUAUUUAAAUUUAUUUGUUUGAUUUAUAAAAAUUUAAAUAACUUAGAUUAUACUUGAUGAUGAGAACGAAAUGAAAGUAAACAAUUCCUUUUACUUUUAAAAGUAUUUUAUUUAUCCAAAAAAAUGUCAUGUUAUAAUUUUUGCAAGAGAUAGGGAGUUGUCUCGGUUUUUUUGGAUAGAGAAAAAUAGCAUUAUUUGAUUUACUUAUUUUUUAAAAAAAUAAAUAAAUUUUAGUUAAAAAUAUUAAAUGACUAAGUUUUAUUUUUGAAUAUUUUAAGGCCUCAACGGUCAUGUUUAUCUUUGAUUUUUCUCACACACGUGAGCAUUGCAUGAAUGCAACGUGAUAAGUACACGUACGAUCCCCUCAUGCCAUGCAAUGAAUCAUGCGGCCCAAAAUACUCGAUCACCCGUACCUGAAUUUUUAAAUAAAACACACGUGUCAUGCACGAAGAAAUUUUUAAAAUAAUUUAAAAUAAUUUAAAUUUUAAAUUUUUUUUUAAAUAACACUAUAUUUAAGAAAAGGACUGAGUGUGAACUAUAAUUAAUGGCAACGAAAUUUUAUAUAAUUUAAAACUUGCCACGUCGUCGUGCCACGUCAUCGUGCCACGUGGAAGAAGAUGGGCCCACAGAAACCGCCUCGCCAAGCUGAUACGCGCGAUGACCGGGUCCCAAUCUGAUCCUUUACCGCCAAAAAUACUUUAAUCUGAGCCGUUCAUCUCUCCUCUCUGGUGUUAUUAAUUUGAUCGAGAGAAUUGAACGGUAGAGAUUUGCUCUCUAUAUCUCAAUAGUUUUUUUUUUUUUUUUUUUUUUUUGAUAAGUGCAAUGCUCGCCCUUGUACUAUUGCGAUAUUACAACGCGCUCCUCUGCUUUUUGUUUAAAAUUCUAGUUAACUUUUGCUUUUAACCAUAAAAACCUAAUUUUUUAAAAAAUAUUUUACUCUUUUUUAUAAAAUAGAUUUGUUAUUUCAAUUUACUUUAAAUAGCAAUUAAUUUGGAGCAAAUGUCGAAUUUUUCACUAUCAGAAGUCUUCUUGCGAUUCUUUAAAAUUCGUGCAGGGUUAAAAUUAAUACCAAAAGUUCUUUAUUCUACUAAAACAUAUAAAUAUUAUUUAAAAAAUAUGCAGAUAUCAACUCACAUUAUCUAGAAACUGCAGGGACUAUUUCCUAAAUUUUACAAAUUUACUCAAAUUUUUCGUUCUUUAUUAAUAAUUUCUUUUUCAAAUUAAUUAAAUUUUCAUUUUUUUUUUCUCUCGCGUAAUAUUUAAUCUUAAUUUAAUCUUGAAUUAAUUGCAUAUAGGUCCUUGCAAACAUAAUAAAUUACAAAUAUAUACCUGUAAAGUUCAACUUUCAUAAGCUAUCCCUGCAAAAGUCCUAAUGUUUUCAAAUAUAUAUUCCUGCCGUUAGAAUGUGUUAGAAAAGUUUAGUUAAUCAUAAAUUAAAUACUUUACCUUAGUUAACUUUUAAUAUUUUUACCCCUCUUAUAUUAUAUUGUUAUAAUUUUUGAAAAAAUAUAUUUGUGAUGGCAAAAUUGGAAAUAUAAAUAGAUUUCGAACUGUUCUUUAACGGUAACAUAUCAGAGGAAUAUAUCUAAAAAUAUUAGGACUUUUGCAGGAAUAAUUUAUGAAAGUUGAACUUUGCAUGGACACAUUUGUAAUUCACUAUAUUUAUAGGGACAUAUAUGCAAUUAACCCUUUAAUCUUCUAUUUUAAAUUUUUAAAUUUUGCGUGCGCGUUUAAACACACCGACCCCACCCCAAACCCCUAACAAACCCCUCUCUGUCUCUCUCUCUCUCUCUCUCUCUCUCUCUCUCUCUAACUCUUUCUCUCUCUCUACGAUCGCCAUGGCGCUCCUCCACGAGCUCCUCUCCCUCGACCUCUCCGAGACCACGGAGAAGAUCAUCGCCGAGUACAUAUGGUAAGCUCACGAUCCAAAUCGAUCCCCAAAACCCUUCCCCACUCCUCGUUUCUACUGCUUCGAUCGAUCGAUUCAUUGAUUUCGCUAAUUUACGGUGUUUCAGGAUCGGGGGAUCGGGAAUGGACAUCAGGAGCAAAGCUAGGGUUUGUGCUUGUUUACACUCGUUUCUCCGAUUCCUUGCUCUUUUGUUCUUUGCUAAAUGGAGUGAUCUUUGUGAUUUAGACUCUUCCGAGACCGGUGUCGGAUCAUCGAGAGCUCCCGAAGUGGAACUACGAUGGAUCGAGCACGGAUCAAGCUCCUGGUGAUGAUAGCGAAGUGAUCUUAUAGUAUGUGUGCGAUCGCUUUGUUGUUCUAUUUGUUAAAAAACUUUUUUUCCCUGUUUAAUUUUGGUAGUUUUAAUUAAUUUUAUUAUUACUUUUUUUUAGCCCGCAGGAGAUUUUUAGGGAUCCGUUCAGAAAAGGCAAAAAUAUUUUGGUAUAAUUCGCUCAUCUUUCUUUUUUUUUUCCCUUGCACUUGCAUGAGCACACUUUUUUUUUAAUAAUCAAUAGUUUAAACUUAAAAUCUAAUUCCAUAGCUAUAAUUAAUUAUCUAUUUUAUAUUUUAAACUAUAAAAUAUAAAAUAAUUUUAUAUAAUAUUUAUAUAAAUAAAAAUUAUAAGUUUGAAAAUUUUAAUAUAGAUAUUAAGUUGCAAAAAAAAAAAAAAUCACGGUAUAAAAAUAAACUGUUUUAUUAAUAAAAAUGCGUCUAAAAUUAUAUAAUAUAUAUUUUAUAUAUAAUUUUUUUUGAAUGUCGCAUGCGUUAAUAGAAAAGUGAACAACACUUGGGAUCUUAUCUCUAGGCUAGGGCUACUAUACUCUUAUGAGUAUAGAGCACUUCGUACUCAUAAAUUGUUUUUAAUGAUGGAGCUUCCGAAUCGACAAUCCACUCCGUUAAAUAUCAUCUUGAAUAUUUGAAACUUCUAGAAAUAAAUUUCGUAAUUUUUUAAAAUCAUAAGAAAGUUCAUCAAGCAGGUAUAAAAUGAACGGUCAAAAUCGAACGACGUCUUAAAAAUGGAUGAUUGGAUCUUCAAUUUAAAAUCGGAGUUAUUGAUCUUUAUCUAUGUAGUGAAUAGAAUUUUCUAUCAAAAAUUCAACUGAUUUCGAUUCUUUUACACCGUUAAACUAGCAAAUAUCUCAUACCGGCCGUUAAAAAUUGUCAAUUUUGUGACCUUUUGAUCGUAAGGUAAAUGAUGUCAAAAAAUUAUAAAAUUUGAUUUCUGAACGUUUUAAAUGCUCUAGAUAAUGUUUAACGGUGUAGAUCGUCGAUUCGGAAGCUCUAUUAUCGAAAACAACUUAUGAGUACGAGGAGAGAUCAUACUCAUAAGAGUAUAGUAGCCGUACUCCUUAUCUCUAUUCAAUUUUAUUUUUUAUUAUUAAGUUAUAUAUCUAUACAUAUUACUAUUAAAAUAUUAAGAAUUCAAUUAUGAAAAAAAAGAUUAGUGAGUUAAAAUGGGGAAAAAAAAUUAAAGAUUGGGACCAAAUAGGGAAAUUAACUGUUGUGAAAUAGGGUUGGAUUGGUAAUAAUUGUUGGAUCGGAGGGUGUUAUAUGUUUUUUUCUGAAAAGUUUUCAUUUUUAGGUGAUGUGCGACGCGUACACGCCAGCUGGGGAGCCAAUUCCUACCAACAAGAGAUUCAAUGCGGAGAAGAUCUUUAGCCAUCCAGAUGUCGUCGCCGAAGAGCCUUGGUAUAAUAUUUUAUUUCCUUUAUAAUAAAAUGCUCUUUUCUCCUAAAUUGGAAAUAUAGAUUUAUUUUAGUAGGUUCCUAAUAUGUAUUUACUAACUAGUUUUACAAUUUUUUUAUCCGUAACACAUUGGCUAUAACUCAUGAUCUUGCUACAACAGUGCCAUAGCAUGAAUUCUUAUCGUCCACAUCUUGUGCGUAGAAAUUUUUUCACAAUGGAAAUAGAAUAUCAUAAAAUAUGUAUACGUUAUAAUAUCGAUUUUAAUAUAAUUUCCAUAAAUGAGUGAAAAAGAGGGCUGUUUUUAGCAUUUAAUGCGGGAAGCCAAUUUUGAAACCUUACAACAGCCACUUGUUAAUUUUGAAUUUUGAAUUGUGAUACCACCAUUAGUGGUAAGAAGUUAGUGGGUGCUGUUUAUUCUGGGCAUUAGUUUUUGAAUUUGAAUCCAAUUAUAUAUAGAAAAAGUGUGUACUCAUGUGGUCAACGGACAUCUUCCAAAUCGGAAAAAAGAAAAUUGUAAAUUAAUUCCAAGUUAUCCACAUAUUUUCACAUGAAUGAAAUUUCCAGUGUAUAAACUAUAUAAAAGUUUAUUUUUAUUCAAUAGUUUGUAAUGAUUGUCCAGAUUAGUCAGGACUAUUUCUUCCUUUAUAAUAAAUAAUUAAACGAUUAAAUAGUUUGUUUACAAUCUUGUUAAUUGACUUACUAAACCUAGUGAUCUUGGCUUAAACAUCUUGCGUACCAGCUUUUGUAAUAUUCGUGUUCUUUUACCAUAGUAAAUGUCAAACUGGGUGAUCCUCGUUUUAUCUCAAGUAAAACAGUAAUUGGGAUCUGAUUUUAGUAAAACUAUCGAACAUAUGUUUUAACUUAUCUCUUCCCGAAUCAGGUAUGGAAUUGAGCAGGAGUACACUUUGCUCCAGAAGGACAUCCACUGGCCUCUUGGAUGGCCGAUUGGCGGUUACCCUGCACCUCAGGUUAUUCACUGCAGUAGCUAUUUUGUUCUUUUUUUUAUAACAUUAUGUAAGUUUUUAGCUAGGUUGUUUACAUGAAAAGUGCCCAGUUUUUUUCUCUAUUGAUUUGCUGUUGAGAAAACUAAACCGUGCAAACUCUUCAUAGGGUCCAUACUACUGCGGUGUAGGAGCUGAUAAGGCAUUUGGUCGCGACAUUGUGAAUGCUCAUUACAAAGCAUGCCUCUAUGCUGGCAUUAACAUAAGCGGAAUUAACGGAGAAGUUAUGCCCGGCCAGGUUCGCAUUCUAACGGGCUAAUUUUAUCUUUGUUCUCUUUUAUGUUCCAAUCCAUCAUAUUCAGUUGUAUCAUCUUAUGCUUGCCUGGAAAUGUUACUAGUUAUGCCGAAGUAGUUGUUAUUCUAAUUCUUGCUGAUUGAUUAAAUUGAUUUGUACAGUGGGAAUUUCAAGUAGGCCCUGCUGUUGGAAUUUCCGCGGGUGAUCAAUUAUGGGUAGCCCGUUAUAUCCUCGAGGUGAACACCUUGUGUUGGCCUUUUAUAGCUAGAAGAUAAAAGCUUUUAAUCAAUUUGUGAAGAUCUAAUUCCUCUUGUUUUGUUCCAAUGCAGAGAAUUGCUGAGAUUGCAGGAGUUGUCGUAUCUUUCGACCCCAAGCCUAUUCAGGUUUUCUGCUGGACUUGGUACUUCAAUUUGAUUCACCGUCUUUUUAUUCGACACAUGUCGUAGUUGUUGUUUUGCUGUAGAACCACUUCGCUUACUAUUUAUAUUACUCUGUUUAUUUACUCUCUAUGGAUGGUAACAGGGUAAUUGGAAUGGUGCUGGUGCUCAUACAAAUUAUAGGUGGGAUUCGUAGUUUUUCGCGCCUUAAAGUCCUUUAUAAGCUGCAACUUACUGAAGUAUCUACAUCCCAUCACUUCUCUAUGUGUAAAAUACUCCUCAUGAAUCUCUUAAUCCUUUCUAUUCAACAGCACCAAGUCCAUGAGGAACAACGGCGGGCUUGAUGUGAUCAAGAAAGCAAUCGAGAAACUGAAGCUUCGGCACAAGGAGCAUAUUUCUGCAUAUGGUGAGGGUAAUGAGCGGAGAUUGACCGGUCAGCACGAAACUGCAAACAUCGACGCAUUUUCAUGGGUAAGGAUCAAUCUCAACUGCAAUUUCCCUACAACGUUUUGCGAACUUCAAAAUAUGCUUAUUUCUAGUUGUUAAAAUUUAAUGCAGAAGACAUAAAGAAAUCCAUCUUUCUUUGUAAUCAUCGGAGUUGUACCAUAUAAAACUACAUGAUUACGCAUUUUAGCGAUAACUCGUGUCUUUGACAAUAUCUGUGCUUUUACAAGGUGAAAUAUAUAUGGUUUUCUUCUUAUGCUGUAAACUAAUAUACUUUAACAACUGCUGCAAAUGCAGGGUGUCGCAAACCGCGGUGCCUCGGUUCGUGUCGGUCGUGAAACUGAAAAGGCCGGCAAAGGUAUGCAAAUAACCUUCAUUACAACCUAAACCCGAGUUCCAUUUCCCUUUGUGAUUUUAAAGUUUCCUAGAAACCAUAUAAUAACAUCUACCUUAAUCAAUUUUCUCAUGGUCAUUUACAUCAAUUCUCUUAUAUGUUUCUUACGCAGGUUAUUUCGAGGAUAGGAGGCCGGCGUCGAACAUGGAUCCAUACGUCGUGACCUCGAUGAUUGCCGAAACCACCAUUCUUCGGAAAUCAUCUUAAAAUUGGGGCUAGGAUAACUUACCAUGCUGCUAGAACAUUUGUUCUGCUUUUAUUCUCUCUCUGGUUGUUUUACGAAAAAUUGCGCACAAAUUAGGGUAGUUGUUUUGGAACAUUGUGAUCUAUAAUGGUUCUCUUUUGUUUACUUUGUUAGUGAUGAGAAGCAGGUAUCAAAGGCCAAGAGAAAAAAAAAAAAAAGUGUAAGUAGAUCACAGGUUCUCUUUUCUCUCUUGGUAAUAAAGCUGUAACAAGAACCAGGAAAUGAAGAUGAAUUGGGUGAAAAUGUUUCCAAUUUUUCGCAAUGCACAUGAUUCAGUUUUCGGUGCAACGUUCUUAUUGACCUGAAUCCGGGAGGCACGACAACCUCGCGAGGACCCCUACGAGGGGCGCGUUCCCCGCGAGGCUCGGCUCGGUUUGCUUGUAGCUUUUCCGGUCAUCGGAGAAGCCGUCUUUGUCAUCAGGGCCACCGAGUAAAGCUCCCAGAAUGACAUUCGGAUCGGCGUUCUUAUUACCGUACCAGUCCUCGAACCCCUCUACGCAUCCGAUCGGCGCGGGGUGAAUGGAAACCGAAGGCAUUGAAGCUCCCCUGUGGUGCACAUGAGUUGGAAACCUCCCUCCAUAUCCUACCAAGUAGCUUAUGGACUUUGGAUUCUUUCCGAGCAUGUAAUCAACCUAAAAUGAUGUAAUUUACUAUAAUGUUAGGUAGCUUAGUGCGAAAAUUUUAGUUCUCCUUAUGAAGAUGAAGUACUACAUUACCUGGGACUGGGCAAACCUGAGGAUAUCUAAAGGUUGGAUUUCGCCGUCAGGGCAUUUGAGAUUACCCUUCGACGCCGACAAGUAAUCCGAGUAAACCGCCAGUAAGAACGCCGCCGACGAUACAUACUGCAUGUUGUUCCAGUCGUCGAAGUAUAACAGUCCCCCUGAUCAAUCACUCAAUCAAAAUCGUCACCCGAAUAAGGACCGAGAUUUACGAUCGAGAUUCACGAAUAAGGGUGUUUUCACGCGAGGGGUUCGAAGGACACCUGGGGUCAUCUUGACGUCGUGGCCUUUGUUCUUCCGAAGGCACGCGCAGACGAAGAACUCGGCUUUCGCCUGGUAUUGCUUGAGAACGGAGCUGUACGGGGCGCUUCCCGCUUGCAAAAGCACCUGAAAGAGCGUAAAAACCCAACACAAGUAUACCAAAUUUAUGACAACAUGCAUGUUUCUCUAUAUAAAAUAGAUGAUUCGAUCAGUUAAUAGUAAAAUUGACUCUGUUAAUCAUGUGUGUAUAUAUAUAUACCUUUGUGAGGAGAACCUGUGAUCCAGCAUAUUUAUUGUCCCAGUAGAAUUCCUUAACAGCCCAACCUGUUCCACCAAAUGCUGCAGCAUUUUGGGAUACAUAGCUGAGGUAGGAUUGAUCAUUGGUUGCUUCAUAAAGCCAUGUAGCUGCCCAUAGCAACUCAUCCUGCACCAACAAGUUCUCAUUACACAAAAGAGUUCACUUUGAUGAUUAGUUGUGGAUAAUAUAUAUGUGCCAUUUGGUUGUUUGCAAUUUUAAUUCCUUGCGCUGUAAAACGCGUGGUGAUUUUCUAUGGGACGGAGGGCUCCGUCGCUUACGUGAAAACCCGUCGACGAAGGGUAGAACUUGCAAGCGAACUCUAGGGUGUCGUCGUACCGUCCUCGGAAUGUGUCAGCGAAGGUGAAGAGCUACGAGAGCCAGAAAAUGCGUAUACAUACGGGUUUGAUUACUGCAAUACUGCUUUCAAAACGAAUUACAGUGCUUUUAAUUUCGUGGGAUUCGAAACCGGUAACAUGUUACCUGCUUCGCAUGUAAGAGGAGGAGGUUGGAGUACUUAGCGUCAAAAGGCUUGAAAGCCCUAGAAGCUGCAGCUAAUGCAGCAGCAGUCUCUCCGGCCACCUCCGAGCCGCGGCGGUUCGUGUCGAUCUUGUACGCCGUCCUCGACGUCGUCAUGUCCUCCGCCCUCUCCCAGCAGAGGUGAUCACCGUCGCCGUCCCCAACCUUUUCAUUUUAAGAUCCAUUAUAUGCACCAUGAAAAUGUUAAGUCCAAAAAUUUUAAACGCUUGUUGAAUUCGAACAUAAAACGUUACGAAAAUGGAUGGUUCGAUAUAAAUGAAUGUAUUGGAAACAUCGAUAAAAUGUAGAAUUGAAACAUAUGCAUAUGAUAAUACGGUGUCAGAGCCAAUUUUUGCUUAUUUCUUCGUUCUCCCGUUAUAUAUUAAUGGUAGUGAUUGAAACCACGAUAUGAUGAAAUGAAGAAGUUUAAAGUUGACUCUGUAUCAUAUUACUCGAAAGAUCAAUUUAAUAGGAAACAGGAUAAGACACGUAUAUUACCGUAUAUACGUAUGUAUAUACGUACGUAUGUACGUACGUACCUGCACCCAGAGGGUGUUGGGUGGUUUGUGAGCUUUGAGGAAGUAAUCGGUGCCCCACCGGAUUGCAGCCAAGGCUUGUUUGAGUUGGUUCGCGGCGACCGUCUCCUUCUCGAACUCGAUCACGCCCCACGAAAGCAUCGUCACCGCGAACGCCAUCGGGAACCCAAACUUGACGUGAUCGCCGGCGUCGUAGUAUCCUCCGACCAAGUCCACCUACCGAGAGAAUGCGAUACAAGUUUUAGUACUUUUAAAUUGUUAUUCGAGUACUUUUUUUUUGGGUCUAGCUUCUGAAACAGCUACUCUAUUCUAAAAUAUAAAAUUCUACAAAAAAAAAAAGAGCUUUACGAUCCCCAAUAUAAGUUUUCCAUUUUACUUAAACAACACAUUUAUAGAAACUCUGGAUAGCUUUUGUAUUUCACAAAAGUCUGUGAAGGAUAUAUAUAUAUAUAUAUAUAUAUAGAGAGAGAGAGAGAGAGAGAGAGAGAGUAGGAUUGCUGUACUAUUAAGAACACAGAGCCAGGGGGCCUCCAUGCUUCUAAGCACUUUUUGAUGAUGGGACUUUCGAAUUGACGAUCGGCUACGUUAGAUUUGAUCUAACAUAUUUGAAAUAUCUAGAAAAUAAUUUUUAUAAAGUUUCGAUAUCAUUAUCGAGUGGUCGAAACGAUUCAAAAUCAAUAAUUUUUAAUAGUUGAUGUAUGUUGUUUGCAAGUUUAACAGUGUAGAAGUUUUGUACGCCUAGUUCAUUUUGCUUAAUGAAUGAAGCAGGUAGCUCGUUACCUCGUUCUCAAAAAAAAAAAAAAAAAGGUGUAGAAGUAUUAAAAUCAAAUAAAAUUUUGAUAGAAAAUUUUUUAUACUAUCUAGAACAAAAUUAAUUUCUCUGAUAAAAAAUGUUAGCGCUAGCUACAUCAUAACUUUUUGUGAUAUUUUAUUUUCAACCGUUGAUUUUGAAUCCUUUCGAUUACUAAGUAAAUAAUACCAAAAAAUCGCAAAAUCCAUUUUCUAGAUAGUUCAAAUACGCUAGAUUAUAUUUAAGGGAUCCGAUCAUCGAUUCGAAAGUUAUAUCAUCGAAAACUACUUAGAAACAUGAAAAUCUUUGUGCUCCUAAUAGCACGCAAGCCCUACUCUAUAUAUUUAUAUGUAGAUAUACCAACAAAGUCAUUCAAACUCAUUAGUGUGUAAAAAGAUCAUAAAACUGUUUCAAAAGCGCAUAUAUGCAUGCAUUACGCCUUGUUCGAAGCCGUCGGUGAGGGCGGAAUCGCCGCGCCACUUGACGCGGCGGUCGGGCGGGAGCUUGCCGGACCGCUGGGCCUCGAAGAACAGCAGGCUCUUCUCCAGUGCAUCCUUGUAGUCGAACGCGGUCGCCGUCGAGCCGAGCACCGAAACCACCGUCAGAAAAGCUAAUGAGAUUGAGAGCCUCCCCAUGGCUCGUAGAAACGUUCUAAUUAAGGAUCACAAAACUUAUAAGGUACGUAGAACACAACUUAAUUGCGUGUUGUGUAUCAUAUCAUAGUUUUAUAAGAGAGAGAAAGAGAGAGGGAGAAGAAAAAAUAAUAAAAAGGUGCAGUGCACGUAAGGAAAGGGGUUGGAUUUAGAGCCAUGCAUGCACGAUGAGGAGAGAGAAAAUUAUGAAAACUAUUAUAGGGUGGAGAGGAGAAUAUUGUUGGGUAAAAAUUAAAAUGCAUGAAUGGGCCCUCUACUAUUCAGAUAUUGCAAUUCAGUCCUUGUGCUUUUUCUUUGUUGCUUAAUUAUCUAUUUUCCUGACUAUCUGUCAUAAAAAUGUUGCGCUGCAUGCAGUUUCUGACGAUUAAAAAUUUUGAAUUUUCUUGUGCAGUAAAUUGGCAUUAAAAAUGUAACACUCUGGAAAAAUUGCAACCAGGUAUUUUCGGAAAGGGAGUGAAAAUUAAUAUUGUUUUUAAAAAUUAGAGUUUUUUUAGCAGUCAAAAAUGAAAGUAUAUUAUAUGUAAAAGUUUAGAGAUUAAAGAAGCAAAAUCAAAAAAAGUAAGAACCAAAUUGAGAUUCUGGAAUACUACAGGGACUAUCCAUACAUUUCACACAAUAUUGUUUAUACUAUAUAUAUAUAUAUAUAUAUAUAUAUAUAUGGAGAGAACUAUUUGUAGCACAAAAGUUCAACGUUCUUUUCAUUUUUGAAUUUUGACUCAUUUUUAAAAUUUUUUUAGGGGAAUGUCAACUGGUAUAAGGUACGAAAAAUUUUGGACUCGUUAGACAAUUAAUCAGGCGUACAUAUAUACAAGUGAAAAAAAGAUGAGAUUUUGUGUUGGCCUCGUCAAAAUCUAAUUUAUAAUUGGACUAGCUUAGGAGCAAUUCCAAAAUAUGUAAAAUAUUAAUAGUAGGUUGCAGCUUUUCUAUGCAUGAAAAGCUUAAAAAAGAUUUGAGAAUUUAAGCUAGGAGUUAAAAACAAGUACAAGAGGAUAUUUUGCAUAUUUUCUGGAGCUUUUGUGGCUCGAAAAGCCGAAAUCGAAAUCUGAACUCACAAACAAAUUAAUUAUACUGGAGAUAAGUUCUUGUAACAGGAAUGCAGAUACAGAACUUACAGUUAGAAUGAAGAAUGCGAAGAUUCUUUACAUAACACAAAAUGUAAGAUGAAUUGCUAUUUAUCUUCGAAAAGGCGAGGGAAAUCUCUCAUGACCUGUUAUAUCAACCGAGGUAUCGAAGCAAGACACCGUCGUUCCCGAGAACAAAGCCUUUGUCAUCUGUGAUGAACCUGCGGACAACGGAGUGUAUCAAUUCGCAGAAUUUGAAGAGCAUGUUUGGGGAAAAUUUAUGGGGGGCGUUAUAUAGUUAUAGAAUGUCUGGUUACUAUGUUGUGAUGAAUUUAGAAGAUGUGUAUCUGAGCAGGAAAAAAAAAAUCAUUACUUUACAGAGUAGAGGUUCGCAGCGAUGUUAUCUGCAGCUUUAUCACGAGUCCAACUCUUUCCGCCGUUUGUUGUUCUCAGCAGGAUGCCACUUCCCCCCGCCGCCCAUGCUUCGUCCUAGUGGCGACAAUUUUACAGUUUCCUUAGCAAGAAAAAUGAAUAUAUAAAACUGAUCCACAAAAGGGCGCGUCACAUUGCUACUAUUUAUCUGGCUUUUGCUUUAGUUCUGUCAUAAGUAUAAAUGAUAAGAUUAAUGAUUGUCAUUUUGCUAAAAUUUCAAGGGAAAAAAAAAGAAGAAAUGGAAAGAAAACACAAUUUAUGUGCAUCAAAAGUUGAGGGAAAGCUCUUCUGUAGUCAGAUUUUUUAGUUUGAGCUACUAUUAGUUUAUUACCUUCGAGCGAUAACCAACGUCAAGAAUACCGAACCCCCUGCUCUGGACUGGAACCUCCUCAAAUUCUUCAGUGAGCUGAAAUAAGAAGCAAUUUUUCUGGUGUAAAAUCAACUGUGUGCAAGUUGUGUUAUAUUGAAGAGGAUGAUCAGGUGAAUUGGAACAAUUUGUGCAAAAACAUCAGUAGAAGGGUCAAAACCAAUAAGAUGAAAUGGUCAGUCCCAUCAUGUAAAUAGCAGUAAAUAUUAAUUAAGAAAGCAAUGUACAACGACAGAAAUGUUGAUUUCAUAAGAUGAUAAACACUCGAGGUGCGAUACAUGCAAAGCAAUUAUAAAGAUUUACAGAAAAGAAAAAAAGAAGCAUGAUUAUUUGAAAAGUUAUUAUGCAACCUUCGGCCUGUAAAGCAACAAAGUAGAUAGUCUGACACCAGUUUCUCAAGAAAUUUUGCUUACAGAAAGAGAUAAAAAUCUAGUAGUCUACCUUCAAAACUUUUGAGUCAAAUUAAAGAAACAGUUUUUCAAAUGAAUUUACCCCUGUUCCUUUACUCAGAUAAAGCCCGCCACCUCGCACAAGAAGCCAAAGACCACCAUCAGCUCUCCAUCCCAUGUUCUGUAUUCGCCGUGCUACCGCUCUGUUAUGCGGUUGCCAAUAUGGCUGCAAAAUGUGGAAAAACUAAUCAUAGAUCUAGCCAGAACAUACUAAUAGUGCUAACGAAUAAGAAAAAGAACAGUCUAGCCUAUCAAGCAAGAUAUAGGUACAAUGCAAAUGUUAACAGCAUGCAAAGACAAAACCUGAUCCGAUAUUCAACAGAAAAUUAACUUCCUUUCAAAAGACAUGGUGCUUAAUAUGAAAACUCUGUCUCUAAAUUGUAAACUGGAACAUCUCUUAGUAAUAAGAUAAUACGACGAAAUCGAGAGCAUAGAAAACCAGAGUAUAAUAGCUGUUAACAUAAGACUGACGAACCUGUCCAGGCUCCCAAGUCAAGUAGAAGUUUCCACGGCUUGAGACAGCAACAUAUCGGCCAUCAGGAGAGCGGUUUAGAGUGUUGAAGGUCCCCGUAUAGUAGCUUGCACCACUAAUGCCACUGGAAACUGUUCUGAAGAACAAACAAAUAUGACUCGAUUACCUGGAAACUUACGAAACAACGUAAUAUGAAAACAAACUAACUUUUUUAUGCGUCGCCAUGUUAAGUAGCCGUCAAAGAAGUGACCUACCUGUUAAGAGUGGCUGAGACAGUCUCUUGCACAGCAGCUUUCCAAUUGUACCCUCGAUUUGAUGUUACGUAGAUUGCUCCUUGAUUAGUGACCAUCUCUGCACUUUUUUCACCAGUAGCUUCUAUAUAAACCUGUUAUUCAGCAACAAAUAGUGUGAUUGUAAUUAAAUCUGCGGAUAUUGUAUUGCCACCUUGAAGUAUCAAGGUGCUUUAACAAAUUUUGAAAAUGCAACUGUCAUGUUAGCUAAAUCAAGUAUUCAUGAGUAAUAGAUAUUAUUCCAAAAUAUUAUCUGGAAAAUUAACAGGUGAUGAGUCCACAAUUACAAAGACCUCUCAUCAAGCUGCUUUUCGCAACUUGAUUUAGUAUACCCUACAAGUGAAGAGCAUUAAAAAAAUACUACUCAAAAAGCAUUCAAUAAAUGACAAGAGGACUCAUUACAAUGUCACCAGGAAGUUCGGCACUCAAAGGUAUUCUUUCCCAGCUCUCUCCAGCAUCUGAUGUGUGCAGCAAAAUUGCAGGUUUCCCUACAAUCCACCCUUCUUUUCCUUUGAAGCUGAUGGAGUUGAAUCUAUAAUUGAAGUCCUCAUCUUCCGCCGACGGAAUAGAACGUGGGAACCAAGUAAGCCCUCCAUCUUUUGUCUCCAAUAUAGUCUGUCUCGUCCCCAAAAGAAAACCUGAUUUUGAUAGAAAAUGAUUGGAAUUUGUAUAAAAACUAGUCAAAUAUUUUACGUGCACCGCAUCUUCGCAUUCGUGUUACAGGUAAAUGACAGCAUGGUAACUACAUCACCAACUAAAUCAAAACACAAAAUACAGCAUAAGUUGCGGGCACUAAUGAGCAUUGACUCUAUCAGAUCUCUUUUUGGUAUUUGCAAGGAAGAUAUAUAUUGAAUCUAGCCACGAUUUAGAUUGUUUGCCUCAUGAAUGAUCAAAAUUGCUCUGACAACAUCAAAUUCCGAGAGAAGAAAGCAAAAUUGGAAUGCUGGGAUUUAAGCAACGUAAACGAUUUAAAACCUGAUCCUGCUACUCAGUAUAGAGCCUCUUUCGCUCUAGUGAUGGCAAUUCAAGUUUCUUUCACCACUCUUACAAAAUUUAACAGCUCUAAACCAAAUCACACGGUUCUAUCUUACUAGCUAUGAUGUAUGAAACUAGUGCGUUGUUGAGAACUAAAAAUUUAGAAAAAUUAACAUCUAAAUCGAUCCAUUCGUCAUGAACUACAGCAUUAGACGAUUCCAUAAGAUCCAAUUAAAAAAAAAAUUGAGAGAGAGAGAGAGAGAGAGAGAGAGACCGUGGGAGAGGUCGUCGGGGACGAAGGCGAUGUCGAGGAGGACGACGCCGGGGUCGACGGGGAGGUAGACCCUCUCCCACUCGGAAAGCGCCGGCUCCUCCGCCCUCGCCGCCGCGCCGCCGACGAGGGGCGUAAGCACGAGCGGCGCCGCCGCCGCCGCCGCGGCGGCGGUGUCGACGAUGAACUCGCGCCGAUUCUUCGGCGACGAGGACGAAGGCGAAGAGGAACGGAACGAGGACCUCGGGACGAGGCGAGAACGGCGAUGAUGACGGCCAGGGCUCCGUGCGGCGGCGGAGGAGGAGGAGGAGGAGGAGGAGGAGCGGCGCGGGGAGCUGUCGAGGAGGAUGGGGUUUAGGUCGGUGAGGCGGAGAGUCGCCAUUGGAGAGAGUGGGGAAGAGCUUUUUCUCGCGACGGCGACGAAGAUGACGAUGCUCCGUGUAUGCGUAUGCGCGCGUGUGUGUUCGCGGGCUCUCUCAAAGCUUCGGUGGAUAACAACGAGAGGGAUAUCCCAUUAUCCCUUAUUUAUGUAAAUACAUAUAUAUUUAAUAUUUUGAAAAAAAAGACAUUAUUUAACACGUGUGGGGAUGUAGCUCAGAUGGUAGAGCGCUCGCUUAGCAUGCGAGAGGUACGGGGAUCGAUACCCCGCAUCUCCAAUUUAAAGUUUCAUUUAUAUCUAUUUUUUUAUUUAUAAAAAGAAUACUUUUGUGAUUCCGAACUAGCACUAGACAUGGUGGACGAUAGAUUUGACAAUCUUAUUAUUUUUAACUGAUACCAAAAUGAUAAUAAUACCGACCGUCUCGAGCAAGUGGCAAAGGGCUUGGUGAGGUAUUCGAGAUUUCAAGUUCAAAUCCUAGUUGAUUCAGAUUUCUAACUAAAUUUAUUUCUAAAUGAAAUAAACGAAUCUCGUGCAUAAGAAAUAUGGUGUCGGUAAGGAACGGCGGAUUUGACGAAACCCAAGCUCGACACUGUUGUUAGUGGUGAAUGGUAGAUUAGACGGUCUCAUCAUUUUUAACCGGCCCGAACAUAAUCUGAUUGGGCCGAGCUCAAGCUCGAUCCAACCACAAACCACUGAUAACUAGUCUAGGCGACUGGGUCGUUUGACCACGUGAAAGGAAAAGGCGAAGGAUUGGGCUCGAAUCGCUUUGCUACAAAGCUACGAGAACGUAUAAAUGAUCCAACGUUUAGGUAAAUCAUUUGAACCUACUCUCACCCCACCACCUCCAUGAAUUAUAUCAACCAAGCUCUCAUUGUUUCCGCAGAUGAGGUUUGCUUUUAGCUGCAUCUCAUAAUUGUGCGCAGGAGAUGUUGCUCACCAGGUGUUCGAUUGAAUGCUUAGUAGAAAAUGUAGACCAUUGUUUUUUGGGAAAACUUCAAAAACCCCCCCUGUGGUUUCGUGCAUUCUCACUUUGCUACCCUGUGGUUUAAAACGUAUCAAUUUAUCCCCCUGUGGUUUCAUUUUUAUCUUUUCGGAAGCUUUUUCGUUAAUAUUUCGUUAAAUUAUAUACAAAAAACUUCAGAUAACCAUCUAUAUUUAUUGAAUAGUCACUUUAGUAUCCUUUAAUUUUAACUUUGUCACUGAUUUUAAAAAAAAAUAAUAAUAAAAUUGAUAACAAAAAGAUAAAAACGAAACCACAGGGGGGCAAAAUGAUACGUUUUAAACCACAGGGUAGCAAAGUGAGAAUGCACGAAACCACAAGGGGG
rnacentral:lncRNA from 1 species